UUUUUUUUUCUUGUAGGUUACCAUAAUGGAGGCAUUAGCAUGGAGGAAAUUAAGAAAUAUAAGAGUGUUGUAGAUUAGACUUUUAUGAGGGAGGAAGAUUUCUAUGAGUUUUACAAUGAUUAUGCAUACCAUAAAGGGUUCAGUAUCAGAAAGGACAGAGUUAGGUACAAGAUAGGUACCAAAGAGGUGCUAUGGAGAAGAUUCAUGUGCUCAAGGAUAUAGAUCUGUUAAGUACUUCGAAAGGAUGGAUCAAAAAAGACAGCCAUAUGCUCUCACCCGUUGUGGAUGUACGGCUAAGCUUGAUGUGGAGUGGAGUGAAAGUAAUGGCAUCUGGUAUGUGAAGCACUUUGUGGAUGUCCACACACAUGCCCUUGCAAAACCAGAGCAUGCUUUUGUUUUGCGAUCUCAUCGAGGGCUUAAUGAUCCUCAGAAAGCGGAGGCAAUCGAGCUGGGGCUAGGUGGACUGUGUCCAUUUCAGAUCAUGGACGUAAUGGAGACCAGACACGGUGGUCCAGGAGAGACUGGAUUUCUUUAGAAGGACUUGUACAAUUUCUUUUCAAGGUACAAGAAGGGAAAGGUUGAAGAAAGCAAUGCAAAAUUUGUGUUGAAUCAUAUGCGUCAGAUGCAAGAGAAAGAUCCAGAGUUCUUUCUCACAUAUAGUGUGGAUGCACAAGGCAAGGUUGAAGAACCUAUUUUGGUUGGAUGCACAGUCGCAGAUAGACUAUGGUGUUUUUGGAGACGUCAUUGUAUUCGACAGCACUUACCGUGUGAACCGGUACAAUCUUCAGUUUGUCCCUUUUAUAGGAGUUAACCAUCAUCGAAGCACAAUUGUCUUUGGUUUUGGUAUAUUAUCGGAUGAAACUAUCUUGUCAUAUGUAUGGCCACUCGAGGCUUUAUUGGAGGCGAUGCACCAGAAGCAUCCAAAAUCCUUAAUCACUGAUGGGGACGCAGCGAUGGUAAGAGCUAUUGAGAUUGUCAUGCCUGAUGCAGAUUACAGAUUACAGAUGGUGCAGUUGGCACAUAGAGCAAAAUAUGCUGAAACGAUUCCGUGGUUCGAAGCUCAAGGAUUUCAGAAAGUUCAUAUACCAUGCAAUGGAGGAGGGUGAAUUUGAUAGGCUUUGGAGAGCGUUUAAAGGUACCCAUAAUAUCAAACAAGAUAACCUAUGGGUAAAUAGGAUGUACAAACUUAGAAGGAAGUGGGCCGCGACAUUCACAAGAGGGAGACAUUUCUUGGGCAUGCAAAGAAAUCAGAGGAGCGAGAGUCUAAACUCAAGGCUUCACAGCCAUUUAGACUGAAAGAUGUCCCUGGUUGAUUUAAUGGAGCAUUACGAGUUUUGCUAUCAUGCAUUCAUCGGAAUGAGAUUGAGCUUGAUGCAAAGGUGUUGUGUUCUAUCCCGUUCACUAAGAUUUCUGCUAAUGUUCUUGAGAAAAGUGCUGCGCAAAUCUUCACACCAAAUAUUUUCCAGAAAGUGAGCUUGUAGAUUAAAAAAUCAAGUAAUUGGUCGGUGACAGAGGUGACAUUGCAGAAUGGGUGUUUGAGGUAUGAGGUUUCAUUGCAAGGCAACAACAAGCGUUGUUUUCAUGUGACUUGUACCUUUGGGUCAUCGUUGGUUGAUGCUAGAUGCCAUUGCUGGAAGCUGGAGCGGGAAGGAAUUCCAUGCGCGCAUACUUUCUGCAUCGUAUAGAGAGCAUCCCUCCUUGUUGUGUUUACGUGAGGUGGACUAUAAAUGCCAAGAGUGCUUUCCGAACGGAGAUGCAUACCAACACGCAUGUUUGGAUAGAACAAAUGGAUAGUUACCAUUCCCUUCGCUCAAAGGGCAAUCAUGCUUUAUUCAAAGUUUCUAGGAGCCAAGGUGAGAUGGAGAGGGUAAUGAAGUUACUUGAUGAUAUUUUGAAAGAAGACACACAGGAGCACGGGAUGGAAGAGGAGACAUCAUUUGGGCCGCUACCGGCUCAUUUCUCAGCAGCCAACUAGCCUUGUGGCACCAAAGUACUUGAUCAGGUGAAGAUUGUUUCGAAAGGUGCUCCACGAUCCAACAAGAGGUGGAAGGCAAGCCAUGAAUUCUAAGGAAAUGUUUGAAAAUUUACGGGUCGGAUAGUUAAAUUUUGUAUUUAUGCCAUGAAUAUACUUUUUAUGUCAUAAAUUUUGUAUUCUGGUGAAUUGUUUCAUUUGUUUUAUUUUGGCAUCAAUAGAUUCUUUGUUCCAUUUUUUUUCACAAGCUCCACACAAUUCACCAAAUGUUUGAAAACAUCAUUACUAUAUGGUCCUAAAAUGUUGUUAUUAGCUUGUUAACUCUACGAUGAGAAUAUACUCAAAUUGUUGUUUGUCUCUGAAUGCAUGAUUCUUAUGUAUAAUGUUAUGUUGUGCACUUCUGUGCUAUAUAACCCUGAACAGUACCUGCAUUCAGACAUGAUUAUUGUGUAUACUGUUAUGUUGUGCACUUCUAUACUAUAUAGCCCUAAAUAGUACUUGCGUUGACUCAAUACAAUCCAUUGCAACAUUCAUCAUGUGCUACAAUGGUGUGGACUGAAGGCUUGUGUUCAGCUUUUAACUGGUGCUUCAUGCCUCUAGAUUUUUGAAUGCUAGUUUUUUGUUCCAUUGCAAUAAUUGAUUCGAUCCAUUUUGCUUGUGCUGUGUGCACUGUUUCCCCCAUUUGAGUCUGCUCAACCUGCAUGAGUAGAUAGAAUAGCACUAGCACCAAAUCUGAACAGCUUGUCUUUUACACCAAAUCUCAUGUUCUUGUUUUUCGGCAGCUCAGUACUAGAAUAGCACUAGCUAUUAUGCGUUAUAUUUUUAUUCUUGUGCUGUUACUAUAGGAUUUGGUAUGUUACUUUGCAUUUUGCUAGCGUAAAUAUACAGACUGUAAUUAAGUUGAGGAAUUGGUCCAGCAUCUUCAGCCUUAAAAAUAUUUUCUUAAACUGACUUAGAUGAUCAAAUACAGAUGAUGUCUUUACCCAAAUUAAAGGGCAUAAUUCUUUUGUUGUUUGUUAUUUGGGCUUGUCUUUUACAUGGAAUAGAUGCAUACCAGACCUUAUCUGGUACAAAAAUGUGUGAUAAUAUCAUGGUGAAUGUAACAGUGAUGCUAGAGCAUGAAUUAUCUGAGUGAAUAUAAUACUAACAAAUUGUCAGGAUCUGAGUGAUAUAUUAAUUUAUUUUUCAAUGGUACCCCAAAUAGCAUUUGAAAAUAUUAGUGACAGGGGAAGGGAGGUGUAAGCCUAGUUAUUGGUAGGUACUGAUAUGUAGCUUAAGAUGUUGGCCUCCAUUAACUUAAACAAGCAGAGUCAGCACACCUUAUAAUUGCAACAGCUAUCAUGUUAACAAAGUAGCACCUAUCGUCGUAUGGGUUUCAUUCCUUCCAGGAUGUUAUAUUUAUUCUCAAGUCACGUCGUGUAAAUGAACAGAGUAUGAUCCAUAAUAAGUUGUUCAAAUUGAUGCAGGUUACAGUUUCACCCUCACAUGGUUAGAGAAACUAGGUGAAUAGUCAUAUAAAAGCUCUCUUCAUUGCGCACCCUGGAAAGGAUAGCCGUCAUUUGGAUGAAGCAAGACAUAAGAUUCAGCAAGAUUCAUUAUGAACAUGUGCCGUGUGUUCUUUUGAGUGGAUAUCAAACAUCAUCACUCAAGGGCGACAGCUUGCUCUUCGUUUGAGGCAGCUUGCAUUGUCUACUGAACUUGUAAUAGUAAUCCUCUGGAUGUAAUAAAAAAGGAUUGAAUCGGUAUAUCGUGAUAGAACUGAUAAAAAAGAUUGAAUCGGUAUAUCGUGGUAGAACUGAUAUUAUACUGUCUGUAUUCUUGCGUGGAGCUUGCAAAUGGUUCAAGGGUAACAGUUGUUGCCAUGGUAUAGCCCUUCAUAGGGUCACCUAAUGCGACUGUCGCUUCAUUUUUUUUUUUGUUGAGAUAGACUGUCACUUCAUUGGUUCAAGAUGUUAAUCACUUAAUGCAAAAACUUGGCAGGAAACGAGAGUUGUCUCGUAAGAGUUUUCACUCUGGGUCUCCAUGUAUAUAGAUGUUCCUUUUUGCAUGGUCAAUUUGCACAACUCCUGUUCAAAUGUGUCGUGAUGUGGAAAUGAAAUUGUAGAAUGAUGUGAAAUAAUAGUAUAUAAAAAACAGAAAAAAAAUAGGCCCGGAGUACUUGCUUUACGCAUCUGUUAGAUGAUCGAUGAGGCAUUCAUGUCACGAUCUUUAGGGAUGAGUGUUCAGUUUGGCUAUUUUACCUUUUAUGAAAUACAAUAAUAUAUCACAUACAAACCGCUAAUAUUUGGAAUUCUAUAAAGUGAGCAAUUUUCAGGUCUGUCAGACUUGCAUCACCACUCAAAGUUCGUCAACCUGUCAGGCAAACUCCUGAAGAUUUCCAAAUACUCUGCCAAACAUCAUUGCAGCAGGAAUGCAGUAGAAGAAACACAUUGUGCGUGAUAUUAUUCGUUCGCGUUUGGCAAUAAUUUUUGCUUGAAGCAUUGCAUUGGUCGAAAUAGAUGUGCCAUCAUGAGUACGAAACCUGAAAUUAUUCUACCUGAAACUAACUAUGCUACCAGUUCAGAUAGAAAUUGUGACAACACUCAACAUGAAGUUCCGCUGCUUGCAUCGCAUCGGCAUUGUAGGCAUUCAACAUUCGAUGGAGCAGAGAGAAAUCAGGAGCAGCCGACAUUGUUGCCAGCUUUGCCAUCAGGAGCAGGGAGAUAACGCGGCAAUGCUGGUCGUGCGUGCCACCCCGUGGACGGCCCUUCCUUGGUCUACUCCAGCACGGUGCCCUUCGCCGCUGCCUGGUACGAAACAAGGAGGACAAGAAGGACCUCGCGCAAUGAGUCGCCAUUGCAGGCCAACGCGGUGAAUUUGCCCUGUCGCAUUUCCGACGGGGACGGUGUACGCUGGAUGGAUGACGACGGCGCCGACCGCGUCCGCUGCGGCACGGUAUGACUGAUAGAAGUUUGCAUAUUGAUUAUUGAUUAUUAAUCAUGAUCCGCAGGCACCGACGAUGGCCGUGCACCUCCCGCCGCCAUCCUCUAGCGAGUAGAGUGGCAGGCGGAGUUUCCAGCAGCUCAGAUGGAUCUUGCGAUGGUGUAGAUGCCGCUGCCGCCGCCCCAGUGCACGUGCGAGUGAUUGGAAAUGAAGAGACAAGGAGUAAAAGGAAAGAAGAUAAGGAUAAUUAAGAAAGAUUUGAUAUAUUUCAACAAUAUCAUUUUACACAUUCUCCAAUCAUACCUUUAUACUAUCUAUACUACUCAUGCAUACUACCUAUACUACAACUUAAGGUUUUAGCAGUAUACAAUUAAUCUCAACCGUCGGACCCUUACAUAUGAGUCAUUUUCGAAUAGUAGUAUAAGGUAGUAUUGUGUACCGUAAAAUACCUCUCCAAAUUUCCCACCAGAAGAGCAGCAGGAUGUUCCUCAUCCUUUUUAAAUCUGUUAUUUCUGUGUCCAAAACCCAUUCUUGAGUUUAUUCCAAUUGCAUUAUGCCAAAUAUCAUGUUAAUGUUUUUUUAAGUAGCAAAAGAGGGAGGCAUAUCAUGAUAUCAAUAUAUCUUAAUGAGGCAUAUUGAAUACCAAAGCAUCCACAAAUUGCAGACCUAAAUCUUGUGCUACCAAUUCCAGUUCAUUGAUGGAGCAUGAUCGAGUAAUCUUUUCAGCUCAGUUUAGGAGAAAGCUAAGCACAACUCCUUGUAUGGUUUAAAAUAGUUACACUUUUUUACUUUUCAUGGUUUUCCUAUAUUCAAUAUUUAAAAACCUCACAAACCACCUCUUUGUUGCAGUUCGUCAAAAUGGCAAUGUUUAGUUUCUACAGGAUGGUUUCAAUUGGCAUAAUUAAAGAUGCUAGAGUCUGAGUGUCUGACCAUCGAAACGUCAUGUGGUUGAUUUCCAAAUGACCAGAUCACACAAAUUUUAGACAGUGGAGUGCAAGUCUACAACACUCCAAUCUCCAAACUCACACCCUUUGUGCCUCAUUCCGUUUCAGUUAUUCUCGCAGCGCACCUUGAAGCUUCCCUAACGCAUGACUCCGUUCUCUCCCGGGCCUCCCUAAAACCAUGCCAAGAACUCCCGAAAAGGCUUUCUAGUUCACAGAAAUGGCGACUCUGUCUCGUCCUCUACACACGCAGGCGGCUGCUCUUUGGCGACCACGGCGACAGUGGAAUCGCUCACAUGAGAGGACCAGCUGCCAGCUGAAGCAUGCCGGAAGAUUGCAGGCGAGGUAUAGGGGGCUUGAACCACUGUAUGACGAUGGGUACCAGACGGUGAAGAACCUAGAUUACUACUAUGAAUCGCUUGGGGAGCUGGUAGAGCAUGACAGUGGGCCGCCACGCUGGUUUUGUCCGGUCGAUGCCGGUUCGCCUAUCGAAGAUGCUCCGCUAAUGCUGUAUUUGCCAGGUUAACAUACAUCUAAAUGUUGCUCGAUCAAAUGUGUUAUAUGAAUUCUGUAUUUUGUAUUGUGUAAUGCAUGAAAGCGUUUUGGAUGUCAAUUAAACAUUCAGGAGUUGAUGGAAUGGGGAUGGGGCUGUUCAUGCAUCACAAGGCACUUGGAAGGUAAGAAACAAAGAAAAGCUUAUUCAAAUUGUGGAUAAUUUCAGCUGGUUAUUAUUAAUUAAAUAAUAACGGAUACUACUGUUCCCGUCUGCAGGAUUUUUGAACUUAGAUGCAUGCACGUUCCUUUCCAUGACCGCACUCCAUUUGAAGGUGCACAUACGUUUGUAAAUUAGUUCACUGAAGGAUUUUUAGAUCUAAGCAAGUUUAUUUCUUUCCCAUCUUCAUUGAGGUCCAUUUUGUAAACUUCAAUUAUGAUUCAGAAUGAAGACUGGUUAGCCAGCUUCGAAGUUCUCAAGGUUGUAUAAUUUAGCUGCUUUUCUUUUUCAGAUCUUGUUACAAUUGUAGAAGAUGUUGUAAGAAGGGAGCAUGCCACAUCUCCCAAUAAGCCUAUCUAUCUAUUGGGGAACUCUUUUGGAGGAUGCCUCGCCCUUGCAGUAGCUGCUCGUAACCCACAUAUUGAUUUGAUACUGGUGCUAGUAAAUCCAGGUAUUUGCUAGAGUACGUCUUCUAUUAUAUGAAUCUUUCUAAUUAUUUAUUGGAAUAUUUGACCUAUAAGUUUUUCUUCCUUUCGCAAUGCUAAAGCGACAUCAUAUGAGAAGUCAAGCAUACAGCAGCUUCUAUCGUUUUUCAGCCUAUUCUCCGAUCAAGCCUGUAUGGCAAUUACAGCUCUAUUGAACUACAACAUUGGUAAGUGCCUGGUAGGUUGCAUCACAGAAGUGAUAAAUAAAAGCAUAAGAAUAGUUCAGAAAAUUGAAAUGCAUGGAAAUAAUUUAACUAACUGAAAGUUACUUUUCUACUUGCUUGCGAAUUAUUUAUAGCAUUUGAUAUAAAUCCUUACUGCUGAACUAAUGUAUAAUUGUUUUUGUAUUGCACAUUUUUUUGUGCUUGUCUUACGUUUGUCCAUGACUCCAUGUCUAAGUUUACUGCGUGUUGGUACUUCUGUUCUUCCUGAUCAUGACACCAGACAAUGAAGCGCACAUGGCAGUAAGUAGCAUGAUAAAUGGGAAGCAUCCCUUAGAAGAACUGAACAGAUUGACAAGUAACAUGUCAUCUUUCCUGAAGCAUUCGGUAUUUACUGUUCCUUCACAUGUUAUUACUGGGUCCAUUUCAAUAAAUUAUAGAUGGAGAUGUAGAAAUAAUUCAAGAAAUAAAACAAUUUCAUUGCACUUGGCUUAUAAUCUUAUAUAAAGGUGUGAUCAAAAUAUUAUCCUUCCAUUGUAGAACAUACUUGACAAAAUACCAAAGGAUACGAUGAAAUGGAAAAUGAAGCUGAUCAAACGGGCUGCCUCUUAUGCUAAUUAUCGUCUACAAUCAGUUCAAGCUGAAGUUCUACUUCUUGCCAGGUUUAUCUGCUUCUUUAAGCGAUCUAGCUAUCUGCUCCUAUUACACUGAAGUUUGCCACUUGAGAAAUUCCAUUACAUCGUUGGACAAUAGUUCUUAAUUUGGUAUGCUUUCUGUCAGCUGUGCUGACAAGUUACUUCCAAGCAAAGCUGAAGCUGACAGGCUACAGAAGUUGUUACCAAAAUGCACAAUCUAUUUUUUUGACAAGCAUGGGCACAGCUUACUGUUGGUGAGGUUUAUCUGACAAGAAGUCAGAUUAAAGUUUUGUACUGAAAGAAGAGAAGAUACUCUUCAACAGACCUGGGUGAUGUAAUUCAGCAUGCAUUUCAGGAGUACGGUGUCCAUGUCGCGUCCAUCAUCAAGUGCACCGAUCUCUACCGCCAUUCGAGGCGGUACCACCGGGUUUUCGACUACAUCCCUCCAUCUGCAACAGAGCUGAAGGAAGUAGACAAAGCUACCCGGUAACCAGAAUGAACGUCUGUUAAUUAAACUCUUCACGUCAGGCUGAACCCUGAACGCAUUGUACUGCUUCCAAAGGAAUGACACGAUAAUUCUUUUCUUUCACGAUAAAUUGCAGUGAUCUCAGAUUCAGGACCUGCCCGGCCAUGUACUCCACUUUGCAAGACGGCACAGUGGUGAGGGGUCUUGCCGGAGUACCCCAGGACGGCCCGGUGCUGCUCGUCGGCAACCACAUGCUUCUGGGGAUCGAGCUGAUCUCGCUUGCGGCGGAGUUCCUGCGCCUCAAGGGGGUGGUCGUGCGCGGCAUCGCGCACCCGCAGCUGUUCCCAGAUAAGAAGAGGGCGUGGUCGGAGGGCCAUGACUUCUUCGACUUCCUCAACCUGUGGGGCGGCGUGCCCAUGAUGUACAAGUCCAUCUACGAGCUGCUGGCCGCCGGCGAGUUCGUGCUCCUCUACCCCGGCGGCCACCGGGAGGCGCUCCAUUGCAAGGUCCUUCUGCGUAUGCAUUAGUAGAGUAGAGUGCAGAGAUCAUGUCUGCAACAUUGCAAUAUUUCAAAGAUUAAAUUUUGAGGACUUGAUUGAUUACUGAAACGUGUCCACCUGAUUCGUAUGAAAUACUUGUACAGGGCGAAGAGCACAGGCUGUUCUGGCCAUCUCAGGCCGAAUUUGUUAGGUUGGCAGCACAGUUCAAUGCCACAAUUGUGCCUUUUGGAGUCGUCGGAGAGGAUGAUCUGCUAGAAGUAUGCUCCGGGAUAUUUCCUGCUGUUUUUCAACUAAUUAAGCGUUCUUCGGUUUCUUAGUGUUUCUUGGCAUUUUUUUCAUGUUUCAAAAGUUUGAUUUCGUCAAAACUUAAAACAACAACGAACAUUAUUGGCAUUUCGUGGGAUGCAGUUUUUUCUUUUGCAAAUAAGAAGUUAGGCACAAAAAAUGAAGGAAUGAGCAUUCUUGACAAUAUUGAAACGUUCAGAAUAAUUUCUAAGAUCCAUAGCUAAUAUGCAUACCUGAAAAACAAUGUUCUGCAGCUGCUUUGUACCUUCGACGAUAUCAGGAAUGCACCCUUUGGCAAGGAAAUGAUGCAAGCAUAUAGCGACCAUCUGAAACUAAGGUACCCACGCAAAUAGCUUCUUCUUUGAGGUUUGAGACCUGAUUAUCUGACUACUUCUUACACUGAUGGCUCCUGAAUGUUCCAUGAAAUGCUGAUCUUUGCAGGGACGACGUUGAUCAUGAGGUGUUCUUCCCGGGUCUGUAUAUGAAAAUACCGGGCCGGUUUUAUUACCAGUUCGGGAAGCCGAUUCCUACCAAGGACAAGCAAGACAUCCUGACUGAUAAGCAGGCUGCGAAUGAUCUCUACAUGCACGUAAAAUCGGAGGUCGAGCGUAUCAUCUCAAACUUGUUGGAGAAGAGGGUGGAGGACAAGUACAGGAGCCUCAUCCCAAGAAUGUUGUACCAAGCUGCUCGGGGACCAACUUGUGAGGUCCCGGCGUUUGAUCCCUGAAUGUUUGAUUACGCAAUUGUUCCUAUUUAUUAACUGGGACAUGCUUGUGUUUGCGUGUGUUUAAAUUUAAAACGACAGAAGUUGUGAUAUUUUACAAAGGAUCCUUUUAAGGUACUCCCACAAGGAGGCCACAACCCCAAUCAAGAAACUGUACCACUAUUAGUUGAAGAUUAUAACUCUUGCUCCCUCGGUUUCAAAUUGUAAAUCAUUUUAACUUUUUUAGGUUCAUGACAUACACUAUAUCUGGAAGGAGUAGCACCUAAGCGUGUAUGUUGAAAGUGAAGAAAAAAGUCAAAGUAGCCCAAUAAUCCAGGUUCUUAAUUUAUUUGAUGCAAGAGUUUACAUACAAACACCUAUGCGUCAGAGGCUCAAACUCAGGCGGAUAGAUUUCACCACAAGAAUCUUAAUCAAUUGAGCAUGCAUCUCAAAUAUUAUUUUAAUUGCUAUACAGUGAGAAACUAUUCCUUAUUGAUCAAACAUUCUUUGAAUAUUCACGUGCUGUAAGUGUGUGAUGAAGUAUAUAAUAGUGUAUGCAAUUCCGCGCUAAACGCAAAAUUUGUAAAAAGAAAAGAACCAAGUGCCAAUCAGGAUACACGGGAGCUUCAACCGCACAACAUGAUCUUUUAAUCAACAACUUUUAAGAAGAAAAAACCACUUAGGAAUACAGUUUUGGAAUUGCAAAAGCAUGAAAACUGAUUGAAGUGGUAGUAGGUCCAAAAUUUCUUUUUUUUUUUGACUAGGAGGGAACGUAUCUGGUGUAAACCAUCUACUCCGUGCAACCUUGGAAACUAUGAAUAUACAUGGCCAACCGGGCCGCAUGGCACGGCACUGGCAUGGGCACGGCGCGGCACGGCACUAUGCGGCACGGUGGCUUAGCCGUGCCGUGCCGUGUAGUGCCGCCGUGCCGACAUCUCAGCCCUGGCACGGCUCUAUGGGUGGUUAGCCGUGCCGUGCCAUGCUGUCGAGCACGGUAGCCCGGUGUGCCCGCGCCGGCCUGAGGUCGCGCCACCCGCUCCGUCAUCGCCGCAGCCGCAUGUGCGCGCCCGCAGGGGGCUGCGCCGCCACCGCCGCCUACGCGCGCCUUGGGGGGCCGCGCCGCCGCUGCCGCCUGCGCUCUUCCACGGGGGGGCCGCGCCGCUGCCACCGCCUGCGCUCGCCCGCGGGGGGCCGCGCCGCCGCCGCCUGUGCUCGCGUGGGAGACGGGGAAGAGAAUAGGAAGUGAGGAACUAGGGUUUCCACGAUUAUAUAUGACUCAAUGUGAAUCUAACGGCUCUAGUUUAGUUAGGAGAUCCAACGACUAAUAUUUAUCGGACCAGCAUAGUGUCGGCCCAUUAAGCGUGCCGUGCCCGUGCCGGCACUGUGGGUUGAAUAGGUGGCCCAGGCCCGGCACUAACGCCGUGCCGUGCCUGGUACUAGCACGAUGGCUCACGGGCCGGGCCGUUACCGGGCUGUGCUUCUUCGUGUCGUGCUCAGGGCGGCCCAUCGUGGUAGUGCCAAAUGGAAAUCUAUAACUAUGAAUCAAGGUCAUAAGAUGCUAAUCCAAUGGAUAGGGUUAGUUGUAGGAUUAUUUUGGCGGGUGGGGGGGGCUUAACUGCAAAAUAAUCCUACCACUAAUCGUAUCCAUUGGAUUAGCAUCUUGUGACCUUGAUUCAUAGUUUCCAAAAUUCCACGGGAUAAAUGAUUUGCACCGGAUAUGUUUCCGAACUAGAAAGACCCACACGUUGAGAGCACACACAUGGAUGGACUGGGCCCCAACUUUCGUGGGCCUUAGGCCGUCGAGGCUGCCCUAGCAGCAAACUCUACCUCCGGUUGUUUCCCGGAGAUCCUAUAUGGCUUCCGAAAGCCCGUAUCUUACAGGAUUCCCGGUAUAUGAGAUCCGUGCGUGCACCUCUUCACCAUUGGAUGCUGACCUCCCUCAACCCUAACCGCGCACCCUCUCCUCCUACCCUGCCGUCGUUGUGCCCCGCCCCACUUGUCUCGUGCUGGUGCUCCUCCUCCCACUGCCGCCUGCGCCUGCAUCCAUGCCACGCCACCGCCGCAUGCGCCUGCGACCGUGCCGCCGUGCUCUUCCCCUGUGCUCGCACCGCUACUGGUCAUCCUGCUCGCAAGUGCUACUCCUUCCGCGCACCGCUGAUGAUUGCUUCCUCCUAGGCGCACACCGCUGCUCCUCCCCACUGCUGUUGCCUACGCACGCGCCACCGGUGCUUCUCCCGCUGCUGCUGGUGCCCCUCUCGUUGCCACGUUCUCACCCUGCCGCCGCCGGCAACAAAGAAGAAAUGGUUAAAAAUAGUGAUUUUUGAAAUGUUGAAUUGGAUUUAGAAAAAUGUCGUGAAGUAGGUUGUAGAAAAUAUUUCUCAAUUACUUUUUUCUAAAAUAUUGAUCUAUGUUUUAAAAAAAGUUGAAUAUACUAUUUUAGGAUGUUGACUUAACUUUAAAAAAUAUGUUGAACCCAGUAGUUCCUAACUGGAUUUUAAUAGGCUUUAAAGUUAUCUUGGGAGCCCCCUUUGUUUCCUCCCCUUUCUCCGGCCUUCACCGGUUCGCCCUCUCCGACGUCGUUAUGAACCUCACCGAGCCUACCGCCCGUUUGGGCGCUCGAGAACAACCAGAGCCCCCUCCACUAGAGAUGGGAGCGGGGUGUCGCAUGCUCGAGGCGGUACUCUAAUUCCUCCACGCGGGCUGCCUGGAGGAGCACCUGCCGAAAUCUGCGUCCACCUUUCGCUCCUAUCCACCACACAUACAGGGACACGGGACCAUCCUCUGCAUCAAUGUUAGAUCAAUUUCCUUCCUUUCUAAUCCAAGUAUAUGCACUACGGGAAACAGUAAGUUUGCCGAGUGUCCCAGGCACUCAGCGAAGCCCCAAAAACACUCGACAAAGGGUUUGCCGAGUGUAACACUCGGCGAAGAGGACUCGGCGAAUGUUCCAUCAGCAAACAGUAUCUUUGCUGAGUGUCAAAUAUCGGGCACUCGGCAAAGCCUUUGCCGAGUGUCGCAAAACACUCGGCAAAACUAAACACUCGGCAAAAAGGUGUUGACGGACUAUCACGGUAACGGAGUUGUUGCCGAGUGUCAGACGGAAGAACACUCAGCAAAAAUUUAUAUGUUGCCGAGUGUUGUCUUCUCGACACUUAGCAAAAAUUUAUAUGUUGCUGAGUGUCGUGCUCUUGACACUCGGCAAAAAUUUAUAUGUUGCCGAGUGCCGUCUACUCGACACUCGGCGAAAAUUUACAUGUUGCCGAGUGCCGUACUCUCGACACUCGGCGAAGAUUUAUAUGUUGCCGAGUGUUAUGGGCGUGGCACUCGGCAAAGAAGCCGCUACUGCCAGCAUUUUAUGGCGCCUUUACCGAGUGUUGUGACAAAAACACUCGACAAAGUAGUCCCAGAAUAACAAAAAUUGGCCUCUUUGCCGAGUGUUAACACUCGACAAAGUGUCCUUCCCCACCUUAUUUUACAAAUUCGUUACGUAUAAAGGACCCCUCUCAAAUAACAAUCACGGAAGCAUCACAGGCAUAUAAAUUGCAUCACAGACAUAUAAGUUGCAUCACAAGUAUCACAGCACACAAAUAAUAUUCACAAGUAUAUAUAGGUUCCAAUCUAAACAAGUAAUUCACAAGUAUGCUUAACACACUAGCCAUUCAAACAAGUCACCGAGGAGGAUGUGUAGGUGGCCAUUGCGACCAAAAUGAUGGCUCCGAGAAAGCAUUGGAUCCCACCUAUUGAUUCUGCACAAAGUUAAAGAGAUUGCAUUAGUCACUUUUCUAUUGUAAGUUUCUAGUGCCUGUAGUUUCUAGUUUAAUUCUAGAUUAAUUGUAAGGUUGACAAGUGACUCACAGGAGUAGCUGCAGGAGGCGGAGGUGGAGGGAAUAGGUUCAGUGGCAUAGGUGGUGGAGUUUGACCUAAACUCUGAAAAACACUCUGCAUGUACUGGAACAUCGACUCCGUCCUCUACCUUUCUAUCUGUCGAUCCGCCUCGAUCCUCGCCUCUAGGUCCUCCCGUUGCGCUUCCGUUCUACUUCCACCUGGGUCUACAAUAUUUCAUCCCAAUAUCUUAUUGCAAAGCAAAAGGUACGUAAAAAUCAACGAAAGAUGAAACAAACAGAAAUAACCUACAGAGCCUCCAUCUGUAACUGUGAAGUGGUCGGCCGUGCCCGUAUCGCGGGGCUCGAGUCCAUGCUCCUUGCUCAGAUCUGGGAGAGAGUGGGAGUGCUGGCAGUGUCGAUCACGCUAUCGCCAAUCCAAUACCGGUCAUGCUUCUUGCCUCCUCCCACCCUCAUCACAAUUUCUGCAUCAAUAUCUUAGGAGCUCGGAUCGAACUCUGGCCCAUGAACCUCCCUUGCCAUUGAUGUGUACUCGGUGACGCGGCUGUGGAUGCUUGAAUGGCUGUACGCCUCGGGUGGGUCCUCUAGGUUGAAGUCGAUGUCCGCCGUCGCCUUGCCCUUUUUGGACAUAACCCAUGCCUUGAGUCGGGAGCACUCCUGGCCAUCAUGUGACGACGUCUGCGGUAAAAAUGCAAAAUGAUUAGAAAUUAUGCAUAAUUGAGCGUUAGAAUAAAUAAUUGAAUCCGCGUACCCAUUUUUCCUUGUAUUCAUCAAAACUUAGGUUGCCUUGAUGGUGUGAUGCAUAUAGCAUCUGCAGAUGCCACUCCCGGCAAGCAAGGUGGUGCUCCAACGACCCGGGCUGCAACCACACGUCCACCAUUUGUUCCCAGCACCGGGUAUGCUCUCGGCACCACCACGGAGGCACCUACAUCAUCAAGUAUGUGACAUAUAACAAAAGAAAUUAAGCGUAAUUAAUCUUUGAAAAAGUAAGUAUUGACGUUCUGUAUUUUCCGCUAAGAAUUCUUCCAUGGUCAGGUUCAUUGUGCUUGCCUCUUCUUUUUUGACCUUCAUCCUUCUAAAUUUAGCAUAGAAGUCGAUGAUGGUCUGAACCCGCGCCUCAUAGUGCAUGUCCUUGAUGAGCUUCUUGGUGGCUUGUUCAGUGAUGGAGGCUGCCCUGGCCUCGAAUCCCUCCUGACAUCUAUAGAAGUCCUACAUAUAGACGCGAUGGAUACAGUUAUUAUUUCAAGAAUGUCCAGUGAAGGUGAUGUAUUAAGCAAUGUAGUGCUAGGAAUACUUAUCCACAGCUCAGCCUUCACCCGCUCCGCCUUGUUGGCGAAUGUCCUGUGGUCACGAUCAAUGACGUCAGCGGCGGCGACGUAGUGGUCCCACGUGUAGGCCGGCUCCUCCUGUCCGGCGAAGACCACCGGGCUAGGGAAGUGUAGCCUGCACAAAAGACCAAGGAUGCCGUUGACCUUGGGGUUGUGGCCACCCCCACUGAGCUUAAUCCAACUCCUGCACAAGUGAUUAAUAUAAAUUAUUAGUUUCUAUUGUAAUUUUCAACAUAUCAAAAUUAUUGAGAAUAUCUAAAGUAACUUACUUUGCCCCAGUGGGUUGAAUCAGUGGGCGUCUAUGAAGAGGUAUCGGUCGUCUUGGGAGGGACGAGGGACCUCACAACCAGAUCUUGGACUGCGAAUCCCCUGCCUCCUCCCCCUCCUCCCUCUCCUGCUCCUGCUCCUUCUCCUCCUCUACCUCCGCCUUGUCACUAGAGGCGUGCGCGGAAGGUACCUCCUCCUCCUCAGACAACCGGGCCGAAGGUACAGGCGACGGGGGCCUCACCCCUUUACCCUUCCUUCGACCCCUGCCUCUACCCUAGACCUGUGCCUCCUCUGUUUCCUCGACUAGUGCCUCACCCCUGCCUCCACCCUUGCCUCGACGCCUCCUCCCUCGACCCCUCGAUGCGUCUGACCCUGAAGCUGAUCCUAAAGCUGCAGCUUUGAAUUUUUCGUAAAGCGCUACGAUCUUCCUCGUACCGCCCACCAUUGUUCAAUCACCUGCAAUUAAAAAUAGUAAACUAAUCGGCACAGAUAAACAAAACAUACUUAGGAAGAUAUGCAAAAUAAACUAAACAUACUUCAAAAAUAACAUGGUAUGACAAAUAAUAAAUAAAUUAGUACGGCUCAUACGUGUAUUAGAAAUAAUCAUCAUGAUCGGGAUUAGUUGGAUCAUAAGUCUCAUCAUCACUAUCACGCGUGUCGAUAAAAACAUGCCCGUGCUCCGAAGGAGGAAUGUCAUCAUCAAUGUCCUGUCCUAACUAUAAUCGCUGAAGUAAUUCUAACUCCUUCAUAUUAUGAACCUCGUCUCCAACGUCCUCGUCAGCAACCCUUUCAUUGUCUACUUCCAUUCCGAUCGCUUCAGUUAAGUCUAUCUCAAAAAUCCCUUCGAGCCCAUCUUCUUGGAAGAACUCUCCAUCAUAUGUGUUGGGGUCAAUGUUGUAAUCUUCAUUGUUUGGUACAUGUAGUUUACCAUGUGGCGAUACCUUGCACACAACAUCCCAACCCUUAAGACGGUCGUUGGUUUGGCACGAGUAUGACAAAUAAUAAACUUGCAUGGCCUAUUGAGCCACAAUAUAGACAUCGUCUCCUAGUAAGACGGUUGAUUGCCGAAUUUCGACUAGCCCAAGAUUAGGGGCCCGUCUCACGAGUGAUGGAUCAAACCAAUGGCAUUUGAAUAUGACUGGAUUAAGAACAUUGCAACCAUGAAAAGUUAGUUCGUAUAUUUCUUCAAUUCUUCUGUAGUACUCGACCCCAUCAAAGCCUGGCGUAAAAACUCUGGUAUUUGUGGUUCUUCAAUUGGGCCGACUCUGCUCGUGGCUUGUUGUGUGAAAGUGAUAUCCAUUGACAUCAUAACCGGUAAACGAUCUGACCCUAUAGGAACAGCCAUCAGCAACCUGUCUCAACACGACAUUCAUAGACGCAUCGGUUUGGCCUUGCAAGUUCAAUCAGGGUGGUUCGUUAUAUUAUUCGCAUGUACGAGAAACUUGUAAUAUCAAACUAAGUACGAGCUAAAUUGGACUGUACCUUAUGUUUGAACCAAGAAAUGAAAUCGGGCAUUCCAUUUCCCGCACCCUCUCUGACAAGAGUCUCCGCUUCGUGCGGGGUAGGUUCCCUUGAUUUACGCUAGAAGUGACUAUGGAAUUCCCUAUACCAACGAGAAACAUGCGAGUUGGAUGCAAAAUAGUGACUACUUGAGAACAAGUUUGUUGAGAACUUAUAGCAUGUACGGCUCCACCUCGGAUAGGUUGGUCAACACAUACAUCAUGAUAGUGCGCCACUCUUCAUGUUUCAAGGUCUUCUGUGUCGCACCACUUGCACUUCCGAGUUGUCCUCGGAAAAUGCUAAGGCUCAAUUCAGCUUCGCUGUCAUUGUAACAACGGGGUGGAUUAUGCACGCUAGGAAGGUUGUCAGCAUAGUAUUUUGUUGUGAAGUUUGACACCUCCUCCAGAAUGUAUGCCUCUGCAAUGGAUGCUUCAAUUUUGCAUUUAUUUUUACAUUUAGUUUGAAGAACCUUUUAACAUCUCUCAAUUGAAUAGCACCAACGGCCCUGCACAGGCCCCCCAUUUGUGCUUUAUACUGGAGGUGCAGAAUCAUAUGCUAUAUCGGGUUGAAGAAGCCAGGUGGAAAGAUCUUCUCCAACUUACAGAGCAACAUAGGCGCCAUUCUUUUCAUUUCUGCAACCACGGUACGAGAUAACUCCUUGGCACAAAGCUGGCAGAAGAAAUUGCUCAACUCCGCUAGCACCUGCCAGACAUGCUUAGGGACAUAGCCUCGAACCAUCACCGAAAGUAGGCGCUCAAGCCAUAUGUGGUAAUCAUGACUUUUGAGCCCGUUGAUUCGCAUAGUAGCUAAGUUCACUAACCUCUUCAGAUUUGCUGCAUACCCAUCAGGGAACAUUAAUGUUUGGAACCAUUCUAGUACCUCCCUCCUUUGGGCCCUCGUCAGGAUGAAAUUGGCCUUAGGCUUUCUCCACGGCUUGCCGGCUCUAGGAGGCGCCAUGUCCAUGUCUAGCUUUGGUCUGUUGCAUAACCUUGCUUGAUCCACUAUAGCCUUAACAUUAUCCUUUGUCUUGUGAGGAAUGUCUAUGAUUGUACCAAAAAUUGCCUCGGCGAUAUUCUUUUCAGUGUGCAUUACAUCACUGUUAUGUGGAAGAAGAAGGUGAUCGAAAUAGGGGAGGUUCCAUAAGCACAACUUCUGAGUCCAAGCAUGUUGCUCGCCAUGUCCCACAAAACCACCUUCUUGAUUAUUGACCUCGAGAGCGUCUAACUAAGGCACAAACUGCGGCUAAGGUCAUCAUCUGCAGUGCGGGGUCGUUAACUACAACAUCUUUCGUAAUGUUUUUAAUGUCUCAUUUGAAUGGAUGGUCAGGAGGGAGGAAUUGUCAAUGUUUGUCAAAUGAAGAAUACUUGCCACCCUUUGUCAACCAAAUGAACUUCAAAUAAGCCUUGCAUACUGGGCAUGGGAACUUCCCGUGAACACACCAGCCGCAGAAAAUACCAUAUGCCGGCAAGUCAUGCAGGGAGUACUGCUACAAAACAUGCAUCUUGAAGUUUGUCCUUGUAGCUCGGUCGUAUGUUCAUACCUCUUGUGACGACCGGCCCCAAAUCUUCCCAGUUAAUCUUAAUCCUAGCCCCUGAUCAACUGUCUAGUUUUUCGAGCCAAGUGUUCAACCUUCGAACCGGUCCCGACCCCUGAGACCCGACCCCUCCCCGCUUCGCUUCGGCUCCGACCCCGCCAAAACCAGCCCACCGUCGGAUCUUCUGAGUCCUUCCCAAAACGUCCGUUCUACCUGACCAGUGGGCCCGCGAGACCUUUUUCCCCCAGAUCUUCCGCGGCAGGCGCACUCGAGUUGCAUGCCGCUUCAGAGUCUCCCCGCCGCGUGGCUCAUCUUCUCCGACGCCCGCCGCUCAGCUUUGUCUCUGGCUCGCGACCGAAUGGAUUCUCGCGCCCCCUUCCCCAAUGGCAGCGGAAGCCCCCUCUGCAACCGUUCUGCCACGCCUCGCCUCCCGCGCCCAUCAUCACACCGCCAGAUCCCGGCCGCAGAGCCCGAUGUCGCCCGUCUUUUCCGUCACUUCGAACACAGUCGCGCCGCCUGGUCUUCGCUACCCGACGAUUCCUCCUUUGCCAACUCCGACCACGGCAGCGACAGCUCCUUUCCCCGCCUUGUUAGAAGCCGCCCGACAAUCUGUUGCUCCGCGCUCGCCCGCGCGCCCGCGGCUGCCUGUCUUCUCACCUGUGCGCCCUCGAUUCUAGCGCCGUUAAACCGGUCGCUUCUAUCAAAUCUACCGCACGACGACGCCCGCCUCCGCCAAAUCUCAACCACCGGCAUACCCGCUCCUGCGCCGCCCUGACGCCAGAGCCCAAUGACCGCUGGCGUCAUCCCCGAAGUCCUGCACCACCGCCCUCGCUGCUCAAUCGCCGCCCAGGCAGAGCACUCCAUUGCUUCUCCCCGGCCUUCGCGCCGCUCCCCUUCUCGCUCCUGCGCCGCUUCCCUUCCCCGUCCCAGCAGCUAUAAAAGGGAAUGCGCAAGCCCGCCGGAGUUCCCUCCGCCAUCGCUGCCCUCAGCCAUUUCUCUUGCUCCUUGCUCAAGCUCCUAGCGCCACACCCUAAGUUCCUGAGGAACUCUCCUAUCCGCUCCCCUCCGUUUUCCCCAAGCCACCCAGCCGCUUGCUCCUCCGUGCUGCGUAAAAGCUCACUUGUGAUCCACAAGAAGCACCGCCGCUGCCCGAGCACUGCCAGACCUCGCCGUCGUUCAAAGCCUUAGCCCCUCCGCCCAAGUCUGUUUCUUCCCGACCCCAAGCUUUCCUUGUAGGAAGAAGGUAAGCUGUCGACCCCAGUCCGCUUCGCCUGACCCCUCUUAUCCGCCCGACCCCGGUUCCGUCUCGCCCGACCCUAUCUGUUCCGCCGACCCCUAUCCGCCUCGCCCGAGGGCUCGGCUGUGAUCUUUUUCUUCAACCGAGGGUGUAUGUGUAAAACUAGGAACUCUUCAGCGCUUGCGUCUGAGGAUCCUCAGUAUACCACAUCCUCUAGUUGAAGGGCCAGAUCAUAAAUUCCUUUCCAACCCUUACCUCUUGAUCUCCACUAGCUCCCUUGAACCUCCAUACCCUCCUGCUCUUUGUCACGAGUUUCUGGGCUCAGACGUGCAAGUGUUGCUGUUGAAAUAACCGUCUAUGCUAACUCUUGCAUUGCAUUCGUGUAGAGCUGCGCCUCGCCGACGGCUUCUACGAGUUGUACCCGGCGCCAGAAGACGAAGCUGUAGCUGAGCUCCUGCCCCCAGAAGCUGAAGCCGCCCCCAAAGUCGAGCAGUUCUCUUCCUCCUUGCUCGAAGGCAAGCCCCGGUUGCAUGAAAACCCUGUGUUGUUUUCCAAACUUGCGCAUGCCUUCCUUAAAACAUGCUUGUGCAUUUACGUAUAGGAGUUGUUUGAAACCCUAGAUGCAUGACUUAGGUUCCCAUGAUCUGAACACUAGCUGUUGGACCGAGUAGCUGCUUUGCUUAAAUAGGAAGCGAUAAAAGUCGAGUGAUUCCCUAUCGCUCGCGAGUUGUAGGAGUUGGUUGUCUACCCUUCUGUUACAACUAUAAGGACGAUGGACGGGGUAGGGUUCUGGGUAACUCUUUGGUGGUCGGAUGGUUGCCCCGUCUGUCUAUGAAAACUUGCUAAGGCCCGACAGUGGUGGUGUUCGUGAUCAAGUGUUUGAAAGUACUAGCCUCAUACUUAGUAUGGGAUGAGGAAGCCUAGUACCGGAUUGAACCUAGACGUGAGCGGUCGCCCCAUUGUUCUUGGAACGGAGUUUCCCCUGCUGGAUGUCGCACGUGGUGGCAUGCGUGGUCACAGAACGGCAGAGGCCGGGUCUGUGGAGCCUUGCACCAAAGGAAAUGGGCCCGACACGGGUUAGGGGAUUGAUGGGGAAGGCCGACACAGGAAGCGACCUCCGGGUGCGCGGAUGUCGUGAGGCUAGGUUCACCAUGCAUGGUUAAAGAACUCGAAUCGAUUCGUCUGCCUCUCACAGUUUGAGAUUGCUUGAUCGCUAUGUCACCCUGAGUAAAUGAGGAAUCUGAUGAUGACAUGGAUUUGUUGAUAUAUGUAUACCUUGUUUUGGUUCUAUGAUUGCUUAGAAUAGGUUGCAAAACCUAGACCGGUUAAUGAACUUAGAACCGAAGCUAAAACUUGAAAAUAGGGUUUAUUUUAGUACUUUUGGCAAAUAAACCCCUCAGCCAAAAAGCCCUGCAUGUCUAGAAGUGUGGAAAAGUUCUCCUGUCGGUUAAGUCUUGUUGAGCUUAGUAGCUCAGCCUUGUUGUGGCUCCUGUUUUUCAGGUGAAGUUGCUGCCCCCGACCCUUCUCCUGCUGGCACUUGGCCGCCCCAGCUCCCGCCGGGUUGGACAGUCGAGUGGGAUCCCUCCUCGGACGGCGAGGAGAGAGAUCAGUGAUGUCCCGGCUGGCCUCACCAGGACAUCCGACCCCCGACGAUUGCUUCCGCUAGUGGUUUUAUUUCUUUUGUCUUUCUGAAAACCUUGUAAAACUCUGAUAUUAUUCAUAACCAAACUAAAUGGUAAGUUGUUAACUCGGUGGACUUGUUGUACUAUCUGGAACCGCUCACCUUCGUGUGAGUCUGCUAAAAUGGUCUUGUUCAAGUGGUAAUCGGAUGAAAUCCGACAGCACUUCGUGUUAACUUGGCUUAGGCAUGGGUGUCGCGUGUUAGGCGGCUAUACCCUGUUUAACCCAGGCUAAUCCGAGGUGGAUCCGCCGCACCUCUUCCUCCCAUGCACGGACCAAUCAUCAAUCAGAGGCUCCAUGUACACACUCAUAUUAUUCCCCGGGUGUUCUGGAAUUAUCAACGACAAAAAAAUGUUCUAUCAUUGAAAGAGGACUCAGGGGGGAGAUUAAGGGGGAUAACAAACAUGGGCCAACAGGUGUAUGGGGCAGCCGCCAUUCCAUAAGGAUUGAAUCCAUCUGUUGCCAGCGCAACACGUACAUUACGGGCCUCUAGAGCUUUCUCACGAUAAAUCACAUCAAACCUUGUCCAGGCUUCACCAUGGGAUGGGUGUACCAGCUUCUCAGCAUUGUAUCAACGUCCAUUUUUGUGUCAUGCUAUCUGUUUUGCGGAUUCUUCAAUCAUGUAAAGCCGUUGGAUCCUCGGUAUGAAGGGAAGGUACCGUAGGAUCUUCACGGGGAUUGCAAGCUGCUUCUUCUAACCAUCACCAGAGUCUACCACCAGGAACUUAGAUGAUUCGCACUUCACACAGUACUUUGCUUCCGCAUACUCUUUCCUAAAUAAGAUGCAUCCCUUCGGGCAAGUAUGUAUCUGCUCGUAUGGGAUCUUAAGUGCACAAAGGAGUUUCUGUGCCUCAUACAUGGUCUUUGGCAAGAUGUGACCCUUCGGGAGUAGGCUUCCAAAAACUGUCAACAUAAUAUCGAAGGCAUCUCGACUCAAGCUAAACUGGGACUUCAAGGCCAUUAGACGUGCAAUGGCAUCCAGUUGAGAAACCUUGGUAUGCCCGUGAAGGGGUUGCUGUGCCGCAGACAACAUGUCGUAAUACGCCUUUGCGGUAGCCUUUGGCUCCUCCUCCCUACGUGCUUCAUGAUAGUCAUCUACAUGUCUCCCACCCUGGCAUCAUCAUCAUAUUCCUCGAUGCGUUGUCUGACGACCUCGUCUCUCCCACGAUCGGUUUCACCAUGGUAGAUCCACCUGGUAUAGUCUGACAUAAAUUCGUGCUUAACAAGAUGUUUACCCAUGUCCAGCUAGGUUUGCCGACGCAUAUUUCCACAUUUGCUACACAGACACCAAGUGGAUCUUGCUCCUUUGAUCCUUGCAAAUGCCCGUUCCAAGAAAGCAUUGGUCUUGUUAAUCCAUUCAUCGGUCACGAAUUCUGACUAGAGCGGCUCGUGUACAUCCACUGACGAUCCUCCAUCCUCUAGAAUAUCAGCAAGUAAUAUAAAAAAUCACGUUGCAUCUACACGUUCCUAUACUGUCUAUUAGGUGAAGAUAGGUCAUAAUCCUACCUGAGGAUGUGUAGGUGGGUUUAGUUUCCAUGGUCUACUCCGACCCGAGACAGAAUUUCGGCACCACCUCCUCGCUGUUCUCCAAAUACAUGUCCUAUAAGGGAGAUUGUGUAUCCGGAGAACAACAGGGAGGUGCUACCGAAACUCUAUCUAGGAUCAGAGUAGACCAUGGAAACUAAACCCACCUACACAUCCUUGGGCUGUCUAAAAAAUAUGGAUAAUUCAAAACAGAUACAGUUAUAGAUAUGCAAACAUCUGCAUAUUUCCAACCGUAUCUCUUUCGAACGGGAGACGCCUAAAUAGGUUACGUGAUAUACGAACAUCAUAUGGAAAGAGAGGUGUAGGAUGCCUCACCUUGCUAUCCUGCAAAGUGACGACUCGAGGACGGUAACGUAGCCUCUCCUAAAAAAAAGGAACAUACUACUGUGACAGUUAAAAUUUCGACAGCACCUCCCCUACACGGAGAGGUUUCCAUAACCUGCAUCAAAUAAAACGGCACGAUAGCCGACAAGCACAUCCACAGCAACGGAACAGCACGAUGGCUGACAUCUACAUAAAGUUCUUAUACCUAAUUUCUAAUUUUCUAAUUCAUCCUACCACCUCUCUACCCUAUUCUAAUUUCUAAUUUCAAUUUUCUAACUUGAAGAAGAAAGAUUGAAGAACUACCGGGAGGGAUGAGGGGCACCGGCCAAGAGGGGCGAGGGGAUGUCCGGCAGCGGCGGCUGCGCUAGGGGUAGGGUGCCGACUCCGGAGGUGAGGCCGGGGGCGGCAGGCCGGGCGGGGCGUCGGCACCGGGAGCGGCGGGUGGGGCACCGGGCAGGGGCAAUGGGAGGGGCAACGGGUGGGGCGCUGGCACCGAAGCCGGCAGGCGGGGCAGGGCGCCGGGGGCGGGAGCGACGGGCAGGGUGCCGGGUGCGGCGGGCGGGGUGGGCUGCCGGAGGCCGAGGACAGCGGGUGGUGGGGGGGGGGUUGGCAGGCGGGCGGCUGGGCAGGCGGGGGUGGCCGGCGGCGGCGGCGGCGGAAGUGAAACCGAGCGGCGGCGGGGCUGGAAACAGCAGAACAAGCGGCUAAGUGUUUGGGUGCGUCAGCGUUCACGUGAGAAGGCCGGGGGUUUAAGUCAGGGGGUUUGCCGAGUGCCCGCGAUCUGGCACUCGGCAAAGACACACUUUGCCGAGUGCCCGUGAUCUCGCACUCGGCAAAGUAAAGGUUUAAAUUUUUUUAAUUUUCAAACGGUACACUCGCCUGUCAGUGGGCCCGUGGACAUAUUUUGCCGAGUGUCUAGUGAAAACACUCGGCAAACUAUUAUCUUUGCCGAGUGUCUUCUACAAACACUCAGCAAAGUACACUUAUAUUUCACGUAUACUGCUUCAAUAACGUGUUUUACUAACUUUUUUCUCAUAUACUUUUGAAAAACCUUGUCAAAUUCACUCAACAAAUGCAUAUUUGAUUUUUCUACUAAUAUUAUUCCAUUAUUCCAUGCAGUUAUAGGUCAAAUUGAAUUUAUAUCUAUUAUAAAUCUAUAAUUGCAGUUAAUAAAUUAAAAUUAUCAAACGGAUCCGAAAAAUUCCCAAAAUUUAACAUGAACCAAUCUAUGUUGUAUGUUGCCUAUACAAAAAGCUUUGAAGUUAAAACCGAAUUCAAGUUUCACUUGGACUUCAAAUCUUACUGGAUCCUUUCUAACUUCUACGAAUCUUCUCAGGAGAUGUGUCGGUUUGUAAGCACCAUAUGUCAGAAAUUGUGCGAAACCUUCUCAAUUUUUUACCACAGCCUCCACAUAUAAUAUCAUGAAAUCUUGACAAAUCUCGUGAUUUUCAGACUUCGUUUGCCUUUUUUAGUUUAGAAUUUAAAAAGCAUUCGUCCACACGUUCGUGGUCCUGUUUUUUGGAAAAAAAAUGUUCAAAAUUUCUUUUCAUUUCCUAGAUGAGACCUCAAUAUGGAUUCAAUAACAUGAAUAUGAUUUUUUCACUGAUUUUAUUCCAUUAUUUCAAUCACUUGCAGUUAAAAUUUGACUUAAAUCAACAAAUUUCUAUUAAUGAAAUUAAUUCAUUAAAAAUAGCAAAAAGACCAAAAAAUAGAUCAACUUUUAACAUGCAGUACCAAAUGUCGUAUGUGGGGAGUAGAAAAUGUUUGGAGACCAGAGGUGAAAAAAAAGUUUUAUCUUUGCCGAGUUACUACGGAAACACUAAGUUUGCUGAGUGUCUAGAGGAGGCACUCGGCAACAUCUUAGUUUGCCGAGUGUCGGUAACGGACACUCGGCAAAGUACUAACGGCCGCCACACUGCCUUACGGACGUCGCAUGUCCGAGCCACGUGCUGGAGAGUAACCGAGUGUCAAAUCGUUGCCGAGUGUCGUCUGGAUUUUUGCCGAGUGUGUUCUUCGCGACACUCGGUAAAUCUGUUGUUUGCCAAGUGUAUUAUAUAUACCGAGUGUCUGCACCUAUGCACUCGGCUGCCUGACAAAAAGUACUCGGCAAAUAUUUUACACCGGGUAACUUUCCUGUUUCCGGUAGCGAUGGAUGGAUAGCUGCAUAGAUACCAGAACAUACCAGAACAGCGUCUCAAUUCGUGUACAGUAGAUUAGCUUUCACUAUUGAGUUCAGAGCGCAUGAAAUUCCAACUAUCUUAAAUCUGAGGUAACUUGUGCAAUCUUCCAAAGAUGAGCAUAACAAAAGAUACUGCGCCUUGACCAGGCAACAUUCAUGCUACCAAGCAUGUCUGUAGUGGCUGUCAAUUGUCUACUAAGAGUUCAAAGUAACAAUUGAACUACGCAACUGGCAGUAGUACAGUAGUAGUUGUGCUUGGGCAAGUGAUGGAGACAGUCCUUGGAAAAUCCACUUAUCGUUCUGUUUCAAUGGUCAUUUGAAUAACCGGUUGGAUUAUUCACAAUGCGCAUGUCAUUUUUUUUUACUUUUUCAAGUGUCACCUUUUUCUUUUCUCGCUGUGAACUAUAAAACGCUAUGCGAGUUAGUGCUUGGACGACGCUAGAGGCGCGCAUACCAGGACUACCGAAAUUAUUUUGAUUAAGUCGGGUUGGUCGAGGAUGAUAACUUAGUUCAAUCGAGAUAUUUAGAUAGACCCUUAAAUUUCUUAACACUAUUUUCUAAUGAAUAUACAAGUUCUGUUAAUACUGCAAAAAUAAAAGUAUACUAGAAACAUACACAAGAUAUAUGUGUAUAUAUAUAUAUAUAUUUAUUUAUAUAUAUCACAAACCCAACGGUAUUACCGAACAACCAAAUUGAAACCCACACAUGCCGUCAUGUCAGACGACCAUUUAUUGCUAUGUACGAUAUUUCAACCAAUCCUGCAUCCAGCUCAUCUAGCAUUCACGUUCUCGUAGCGCGCGCGGGAUGGAAGAAAUAGCUCAGUGCUGCCCGGGAAGCUUCUCCUUGAUCUUGUUCAUGAGUCCCUUCUUUUCUCCGGUGCCCUCCGUGCCAUGCGCACCUGUGCCGGUUGCGCCAGCGUGCCCCUGCUGGCCGACGGCGCCGCCGGUCGUCGUGUGCUGCUGGCCGGUGCUGUCCUUGUUGCCCCCGGGGAGCUUCUCCUUGAUCUUCUCCUUGAUGCCCUUCUUCCUCCUCCCGCCCAUGCCGUCAUCCUCAGACUGACAAACCACACCACCAUGAUGAGUAAAAUUUGCACAUGUAUGAAAGACACCACGGGAGGUUGGGUGUGAUCGUAUAGAGACGACGGAGACGUACCGAACUAGAACUGGAGCUGCCGGAGCGGCGAAGGAGGCCGUCGGUCUUGUGGUCGUCCCUCAUGGGCUGGACCUGGUCGCCGGCAGCACCCACGCCGGUGGCGCCAUGCCCAGCGGCAACCGGGUUGCCGUACUCGUUGGCUUGGUUGGUGGCGUGGCCGUGCUGCCCCUGGUACUCCAUCCUAGCAGCAAUCUACGAUCGGCAACUCGUUUCUUUCUGGCUACUGCUUUUUUAUCAGAUGUGGAUGUAGGAAUUCGAACAACUGUAAUUGCCGUGUGUUGCAGCAAAGUGAGAGGCUUGAUGGGCAUUUAUACUAUAACUACUGGAGAUUGGGUUCAGGUGUUUUUUUUUAAGAGUUGAGAUGGAGGUCAGGGAGGCCACGGCAGCGGUGUACGUGUGCGUGCAUGGUUGGGGUCGGCAGGUAUGGGUGGUUACAUUAACGGCGCCACGUACGUGUGCGCACCAUCUGGGCAGUUCUGGAAGGAUGACUGGACAGGACUCCGUAACCGUAAUGAGCUUGUUGUUUGCUUGCUUGAUUCCUGCUUUGGGAAUAUUAAUAGUUUACGUGUCUCACUACAGGGUGUCUGAUCGAAGUUUGCCGGAAGUAAACCUGUUAAUAUAUGGUUCUCGAUCUGGAGUCUGGACCAUAACCAGUCCAAACCUCAUUUCUCAAUUCUAAUCACGCGGCCCAGUACAAAUAACAAACCUGUAUGCUAUAUUUAUAACUAAACAAACCAAUCCAGAACCUUGUUAAGAUGAAUAGCGCUGCCUGCCCUCAAAGAAGCAGAUACUCUCAUGUUUAUAGAUGAAGCAAUACAUGGCAGGUUCCAUACGUGGCUUUGUAGCACAAGAGAGACAAGGAGACACAGCUCCAAAUAUACAUGAUGCUCUUCUAAGAAUAGCCAUGCACUUCUAUGAAUAGAUAUUUACUUCUAUGUUUAACAACUCCCUCAAUCUGAACGGUGUGCAACUAAGUUCAGAUUGCGCCUAAGAUUGCAGAAGGCAGUGACCGGCAACGGCUUGGUCAUGAUGUCGGCUGCUUGAUCCUUGGAGGAGAUAAAGUGAACCUCUAAUUGUCGAGAUGCCACACGCUCCCGAACAAAAUGAUAAUCCACUUCAACAUGUUUGGUGCGCCGAUGAAAUAUCGGAUUGGCCGAUAGAUAAGUAGCCCCGAUGUUGUCACACCAUAAUCUUGGUGGUCAAUGUUGAGAAAUCCCAAGCUCAUAGCAACACUUGAAUCCAUAUAACCUCAGCGGUAGCAUUAGCAAUCGCCUUGUAUUCGGCCUCCGUACUUGAGCGAGAUACAGUGGGCUGUUUGCGAGAGCUCCACGAGAUGAGAUUGCCUCCAAAAAAGAUGGCAUAACCACCAGUGUUGCGCCUAUCAUCUGGAUUGCCAGCCCAAUCCACAUCCAAAAAAGCACUGAGUAGUAAGGACUCAAUUUUUGUGAUGCAUAGACCCAAGUGUGAAGUGGCAUGUAAAUAACGCAAGAUGCGUUUGACUGCCGCCCAAUGAGUGGUUGUUGGUGCCGAAAGAAAUUGACAGACACGAUUCACACAAAAUGAUAUAUCCGGUCUAGUCAAUAAGAGGUAUUGGAGGGCGCCCACUACACUUCGAUAGCGUGUAGAAUCUUCAGCUGAGAGAGGAUCACCACUUGCUAACAUCAACUUAUCCGUAGGAAGCAUGGGAGUUGAUACAAUAUUUGAGGAGGCCAUGUUGGUGCGCUUCAAAAUAUCGUGAAUAUAUUUAUGUUGUGUCAAGAUGAGGCCGGUUGAAGUAUGAUGCACCUCAAUGCCAAGAAAGUAACUCAGUGUACCAAGAUCUUUGAUCGCAAAUUCAGUUUCAAGUUGGGCAAGUAGACGAUUUGUGGCCGAUGAUGAGGAACUCACAAUGAUAAUGUCAUCCACAUAUAUGAGAAUAUACAUCUGAAUGCCACCUUUAUUAAAGAUGAAUCAUGAAACAUCCGCUUUAGAAGCAUAAAACCCCAACUGUAAUAGCUUGCCACUGAGACAAGAAAACCAUGCUCUUGGGGCCUGUUUAAGACCAUAUAAUGACUUGCCCAGCUUGCAAAGAUAAGUAGGAUGAUCUAAGUCAUCAAAACCAGGUGGUUGUUUCAUAUAAACAUCUUCAUUGAGAUGACCAUGAAGAAAUGCAUUCUGAAUAUCAAUUUGCCGAAGUGACCAACCACGAGAGACAGCAAGAGACAACAGUACUCAAAUAGUGGUAGGUUUGACCAUAGGGAUGAAUAUAGCAUCAUAGUCAACACCAUACUGUUGUUUGAAGCCCUUAGCAACCAAGCGAGCUUUAUAGCGAUCAAUGGAACCAUCAGCCUUACGCUUCAACUUGAAUAUCCACUUACAAUCAAUGACAUUGAGGCUGGCAUGUGGCGAGACGAGCACCAAGUCUUGUUCUUGAGAAGAGCUUGAAACUCCUCAUUUAUUGCUGACCGCCACAGUGGAUGAGACUUGGCAUGGGUAUAACAAGUUGGUUCUUCAUCAGAGGCACGGACUGCUGAAUGUGUCACAGUGCCGUCUAUACGGACUUUAGGUUGCUUAAUAUUGUUGCUGAGGUGAGUGCCGUACCGGUGGGCGGGAGGUUCUGGCGUGGCCUCAUCCGAUUGGAUGGGCAGCACGGGCUGUACUGAAGAAGGCGCCCGAGAUGCGGGUGGGAAGCCAACAGGAGGCGGCUCAUAAACAGAUGCUGCCGGGUGUGGAGAUCACGUGCGUGAGGCGGGAGGCGGAGACCCCGAGGCCAUCUGGUCCGCACAGGGCGCUGAUUGCGUAGCACUUGCGUCGGUUGUGGCAGGAAUAGGCGGCGCCGAUCCCAAUGCCAAUUCAGGUGGCAUGCUCCCCUAAUUUUCUACAUCCGAAAUAUCUGCAGGCACAGGACCACCAGGUGAUGUAUGCACGAGGUUAGUGUUCAAAUUAAAACUGCUACCAUCUGGCUGUGGGGUUGGGAUAAUAUGUGGUUCCUCAACAUUGGAUGAAGGGUUCGUGGCAAAGGGAAACUUGGCCUCAUCAAAAACAACGUCACGAGAAAUAUAUACGCGACGGGUGUCCAUGUCAAGGCACUUAUAGCCUUUGUGAUUGGUGCUAUACCCAAGGAAAACACAUGCUUUGGAUCGAAAAGAGAGUUUGUGCUGAUUAUACGGUCUCAAAUUGGGCCAACACGCGCAUCCAAAAAUGCGGAGCAUGGUAUAAUUGGGUGGGGUUUUGAAUAGGCGUUCUAAUGGGCACAAGUUAUCAAUAACACGUGUUGGCAUUCGAUUAAUGAGAUACACAGUAGUAGCAAAAGCUUCAUCCCAAAAUUUCAUUGGCAUCGGGCAUGAGCUAAGAGGGCAAGCCCGGUUUCAACAAUGUGGCGGUGUUUGCGCUCAGCUGAGCCAUUUUGUUGGUGGGUGUGAGGACAAGAAAUAUGAUGGGAAAUGCCAAGCGAACGAAAAAAUUGAUUGUGAAGUUUUCGAUACUCCCCACCCCAAUUGGAUUGAACAUAUUUGAUUUUAGCACCAAGGAGGCGUUCUACAUGAGCUUGGAAUUGCAAGAAAAUACGCUGGACCUCAGUUCUAUCUUGCAUCAAGUAAACCCAAGUGAAUAAACUGUAGUCAUCAAUGAAACUUAUGUAAUAUUGAUAACCACCAACAGAUUUAGGGGCAGGACCCCAAACAUCUGAAAACACAAGUUCUAAAGGAGAUGUGGAUCGAUGAAUAGCAUUAUUGUAUGGUAGUUGGUGGCUCUUGCCUAAUUGACAAGCAUUGCAUAUGGUGUGAGUUGAUUCCUUAGAACAUGGGAGUUUAUUCAAACUUAAGAUAGACCUAACAACUUGGGUAGAGGGGUGGCCGAACCGAGCAUGCCACUGAUCUGUAGACAUCUUGACAUGGAUGAGGGCUUGUUUGAAGGACUCAAUGUCGUAGAGCUUGAUAGGAUAGAGGCCGGCUUCACAUUUUCCUUCCAGAAGUAUUUGCCUCAUUGCUAGGUCCUUUAUGAGAAAAUGAUAUGGAUGAAAUUCAAAAAAGACAUGGUUAUCAUGUGCUAAUUUAUGAAUGGAAAGAAGAUGUUUAGAAAUAUCAGGAAUGUGAAGAACAUUUUCUAGUGCAAGAGGUCUAGUAGCAGUAUUAAUUGAACAAGAACCAAUAUGCAUAAUGUGCAAACGUGCCCCAUUGCCAACUUGAACAGUUUCACCACCAUUGUAUUGUUCACGGAGAGCUAGGCGAUCUAGAUCACUAGUGAUGUGAUCGGUAGCCCUGGUGUCGGUGUACCAGUUAGGGUCGACCUUGUAGAAAGUAGUGGUAGCAGCAGCGGCGAAGGGUUGUUCAUCCUGAUAGGACUCAUCCAUGAGGUACCAACAUUUGACCGCCGUGUGGCCCACACGGCCACAGAUCUGGCACGGCAGGCACUUAGGCAUGUCAUAUCUUGGAGUAGAUCGGCCACCACAGCCCUGGAACGGUGCAGACCCACGUCCGCGGCCACGGCCAGGCGAUGCACCGUGACCAUGUCCACACAACACCUGUCCCCCGCGGCCAGCAAAGUUGGCCGAAGCACCAACAUUGAGGUGCGUCUCGGUGUUGUGUUGCAGCUGACGAGACUCAAACCACAUGAGAUACGCGUAGACGUCGUUGAGGGAGAGGGCUUCAGUCUUGGUGGUGAUAGACGUGAUGAACAGAUCGUAAUCUGAGCCAAGUCCAGCCAAGAGAUACGCGAUGAUUUCAUCAUCACGAAGAGGAGCAGCAACAGUAGCAAGUUUAGAUGCAUAACCCUUGAUCUUGCGGAAAUAGUCGGCAGCAGACAUAUUCCCGCUUCUUCGUCGUGGCAAGAUCCACGCGAACUUGGAUGGCGCGAGCGUGCACGGUAGAAGAAAACAUGUGUUCCAGCGUGUCCCAGGCUUCUUUGGCGGUGGAGGCAGACACCACAUCAAGAAGGAUGUCCUCGGUUAUGGGGAAGAGAAGACCACUCAGGAUAUGUUGGUCCUGAUCAUACCAUCGGUCAUAUGCCGGGUUGGGAACCAUUGAGCGCCCUCGUCUAUGGAAGACGUGAUGACCUUGGGUGGUGGGGAGAUGGAUCCAUCAAUGAACCCGAUGAAUUUAGUGCUUCGCAGGUAAGGGAUAAAUUGAGCGUGCCACAGCAUGUAGUUGAUCUUGUUAAGACAAACGGUAACAGCAUGAUGUAUAGGAAUCGAGGCAAAGGUAGAUGGCAUGGUGCUGUUCAUGGCGUCAGAGGAAGAAUUGGUGGAAGGGGAGGAAGAAUUGGUGGUGGACAUUGGGAAGAAAAGAUUAUGGCUCUGAUACCAUGUUGAGAUGAAUAGCGCUGCCUGCCCUCAAAGGAGCAGAUACUCUCAUAUUUAUAGAUGAAGCAAUACAUGGCAGGUUACAUACGUGGCUUCUAGCACAAGAGAGAUAAGGAGACACAGCUCCAAAUAUACAUGAUGCUCUUCUAAGAAUAGCCAUGCACUUCUAUGAAUAGAUAUUUACUUCUAUGUUUAACAAGCCUCAAACCUUGGAUUGAAACCAUUUUCUAGUGGGACUCCGACGCGUGCCGGCCAGAGGACGUCAGGACGUGUUUGACGCGACCCGGCCAAACAAACGAAUAGGAUUGGAGGCUGGACAUGAAGCAAAAGCAUGCUGCAUGCUAAUGAACUGCACCAUAAAUGUCUGACAAAAUUUCCAAAAAAAUUCUGAAAUGCAAAAAAAAUAUAACAUAAAGGAAAAUAUCUCCACGAUUUUUUAGCAGUACAUAACCUGUUAAUGAACUAUUACAAAUGUAUCACAUCACAGGACCAAUAAAAGAGGUACAUAACCAUAGUUCCUGUAGAAUCUGAACAAAAUUCAUAUUUAGUUCAAUGGGCCAUUUGCCCAGCUUCAGUUGCCAACAAUGCUCAAACCCCAUGCAUCAGUAGAGAGGCAGUAGUUAUAUUGUACCUCCUUGUCAGUUGGGAGUUGUCCAAUGGCUGCAACAAAAAAAACAUUGACCAAAUAAUGCUAGCUGAUUGAUCACUUCUCUUGUUCAAUUCACAACAACAUUCGGCGUGCUUUGCGCACCCUAUCAUGACUGUAAAUGUUUGGGCUUUGGUUAGACAAAAGUAAAUUUUAUUUCAAGUCUUGUUAACAUUUAGUACCUCUAAUUACAAGUGGCCUGUAGGCCUAAAUUCCAAUGUCUAUAAAAGAAUAAAUCCAUACAACCAUUCCAAUUUGUCCUAAAUUUUACUGGAAACCCUUUCUAUUUGAAAUAGAAAGAGAUGGUAAAGGUGGGCUUAUUCGUUUUUUAAGAAUAGAAAGAGAAGGUAAAGGUGAGCAUUAUAGGUAUUGGAUGAUGUAGUUUCUAAAUCGCAAUGGAGGCUAUUGGAUGCUGCACCCUCCGGUAAAGGAAGAUGGACCCACUUAUUCUAGUCAAGGAGACCAUUGUUAGAUAUAUGGGCUUAUAAAUCUUAAAAGGCCCAUUAGUGUUAGAGAGGUACAUCAUCUUUUAGUUUCGUAUUACUAAUAGACAAGGGUGUGGGGGUUUUCCUCCCUAUAAAUACGGACUACCCCUCAUGGAAAAAAUGCAUUAUAGACUAUUAUAUGGGGAGUCCCCUAGGUUUGGGAAUCCCGAUGGUAUAUUCGAGUUAGGUUUUGUCUCUUCUACAAUGUUGCGCCACCUCUAUAGUCUUCUCCAUUCCGUGCAUUGGCGUCCAUCGGUGAACAGGGCAGCAGAUCUUCGGAACCAUUCGCCAUUAUCAUCCUGCACCGGGAGAGGGCGAAUAAGGUUUUUGGGAAAUGCUCCGUGCGACUGCUCAAGUUUGUCACCACAACUCAUCCUCCAUCCAAUCUUCGUGUCUCCGCGUAUCGUAAUCUUCAACGUCGGCUGCUAUAAUCUAUCCGAAACACCAUCGUCGUUCCAUCUACACCGCUCGUCAUCAAGGAUUCGUCAUCUGCAUCUGCUCUACGUGUCCCAUGUCUUGACCCAAUCUUUAAUCAUGUUUUCUGUUAGCCCUGGGCAAAUUUUACCGAGAACCGAGAACCGAACCAAAAAAACCGAGAAACGAACCGAAUUUACCGAGAACCAAAAUCUCGGUUCCCUGUUCGGUUCUCAUUUCCUAGGAACCGAACUUUGUUCAGUUACUUCGGUUCUUUCCCUCGGUUAACCGAACUAACCGAGGAAUUGAGGCCUAAUAAGCCCAAUAAGGCCCACUAACUGUGUAACCCUAGCUCCCUCUCCCUCCCCUUGGUCAGUCCGGCACCUGCGCCGCCCACUCCCUCCCGGCUCCUCAGCCUCACCCACCCACGCCUCACCCUCCCUCCCAGCUCCUCAGCCUUACCCACAUCGCCCCUCCCUUCCGGCCGGCGCCGCCCCCUCCUAGUCCCAUCUCUCUCCCCGCCAGCCGCCACCUCCACAGCCGCGGCACAUUCUUGGCGGUGGCGUGUCCCCAGCCGCGGCAAAGCAACGGCGGCCAGCAAGUCCCCACCCGCGGGCCACGGCGCAUCCCCAGCAGUGGGCUAGCGACGGCCGGCGCGUCCCCAACCGGCAGCCGCGGCGCGUCCCCAGCUCGGCGUCCUCCCGGCGGCCGACGCGCCCUCCCGCCUCUCGGAGACCUGUAGUCCCGGCGCCCCCCUGCGACCUCCCGUGGCGCCACAUCCUCGCCUGGGGUCCGACGCGCCUUCCCGAGUUUUGGCAUGGCAGUGCCCUCCCUGCGUCGCUGAUUUUUUUUGGAAGCCGGAGUUGGUUGGUUAGUUCAGUUCGGAACCGAAACUGAACCAAACUAACUGAAACCGAACUUCGUCGGUACCAAUUUUUUGGAAGAACCGAUCGGUACCGACUUUCAUGGGUACCAAAGUACCGAGGAACCAAGGAAUCGGUUCGGUUCGGUUCGGUUCGGUAAUACCGAAUGCCCAGGGCUAUUUUCUGUGAUCAAAGGCUUAGUGGAGACUGGACACAUGUCGAUAUCGAGGAGGUUGCGUGGCGGCCAAGCGAAGAUGGACGGUUUGGGUGGUUGGGGCCUCAGAAGUACCACGCAACAGGUUAGGCAAAGAAGAAUUUGUCUUUGAUUACAUAAGCCGAUUCAAAGAAACAAAAAACUGGUUUGGGAGACCGGUCUAACACAAGGCGGUCCCUAAAUGCUAAAGCCCAUGUGCCCGGAAAUUGGGACCUGGAAGCUUAACGUGGCAAAAGAUCAAGGGAGCAGCCCCAGGUAGAAAGUCACCUUUGAUAUGCUUCUAAACAAGUAUACCAAAGAAAGGGCCGUUACAAGUGAUCGGCUAGUAAAAAAAAAGAAUGAGGUCACCUGCCCAUCAAGAGAAGCAAGGUUCACCGCUGAGAGUGAUUGUUAGACAGAGGGGUGACUAGAUGAAGCACAGACAGCAUCCCUCCACAUCUUGGGCUCCUCAAGCAUCAGAUCCAACAUUGCCCGAUGUGGGAUGAUAAUGGGGUGAUGUGGGUACCUUAUCAAUUGGUGCAGCAGCCGUCUUUCCAUCCUUGAUGGGGAGGCUCCAGAAAGUCAUCUUUGGACAGAGUCUCACAUCACGUGCACGGCCAGUGGGUUCCUCACCUAUCUGGUCAGGGUCAGCAGACCCGAUCGGUCAGACUAGUUUGUUCAGGCAUCACGCGCUUCUUCCCCUAGGCAGGUGUAUCAUCCCAAGCAAAAGGAAGGGGAAGCUUGGAAGAUAUAGAUAGACUCAGAGGAGGGUAGAGGAGAAGAUACUAUCCAAAUUGGGUCUAUGAAAAUUCCUGCUAAGGCUAAUGUGGAAAGACCAAUUGAUAUGAACAAUGUGGUCAAAGCUCCUGUCCAGAAGGUAUCCACUGCCAAUGAUCAUGAAGCUAGCAGCAGUGGGUCAAAUUCUAAAUAUCUCCUACCAAGGUGGUGUCCUCCCAGGUUAACUCGCACACAAAGGAGGAAAUUGCAGAGACUAAGGCUACAGGAGAGAAGGGAACAGGAGCUAGAAAAAUAGAAAGAUGAGGCAUUCAACAAGUACAGACCCAUGGCACCUCAAAAGAAGGAGUGGAGAGCAAAAGCCAACAUUCAGGCUGAACCAGUCAGACUGGCCGAGGAAUCGGUCAGACCGGUCGGGACAUUUGAGCUAGCCCCUGAACCGGUCAAACCGGUCUCAUCAAAAACUUCACCCGUUUCUGCUCUUUUUGACCUUAUGGCGUGCGAUGAAGAGUUGGCAUCAGUCCAUGAGAUAGAGGACGAUGAACAACUUGUUCAUUACAGUUCUUCUCCUGAGAGGAUGAUGCUGGACAUAAAUGUGGUUCAUAUGUCAAUGGAUGGCUAUGUGCUCUCGGACGAAAAAUUUGGCUCACCUCGACUUUGGGCCUAAAGAAGCAGUAUUCCAGAAGUCUAAAACUACUAAAAACCAUCUGAAGGCGUUGUACAUGCGAGGUCACAUCAAUGGGAAGCCAAUUUCUCAAAUGUUGGUUGAUGGAGGAGCAAUUGUAAAUUUGAUGCCCUAUUCUUUGUCCAAGAAAUUGGGAGGUUCAGAUGAGGAGUUGAUCAAGACCUACAUGACUAUUAGCGGUGUGGGAGGAGGCGAGCCUAUGGGAGCUAAAGGCAUCGUCUCUAUGGAGCUCACUGUUGGGAGUAAGAAGUUUUCUUCAUUGCCGAAACACAAGGUAAUGUCAGCUUGAUCUUGGGUCGUGAUUGGAUACAUGCAAAUCAAUGUGUUCCUUCUACAUUACAUCAAUGCUUGAUUCAGUGGAUUGGCGACGAGGUGGAGGUCGUUCAUGGUGAUACGUCAGCUUGUGUUGCUGUGGCCGAUAGUUCUACCAUGAGUGCUCAUGAUAAUGCUAGGUGCUUAUCUGGCAUAGAUCUUUCUGAUUGUGAGUACAUUAGUUGCACAAAGGGCGAUUUUGUCGCUACUAUACUAAAGCCAAUUGAUGGUCGGCUAGCUCAUCACAUAUGAUAUAAUGGAUGCAAAUCUAGAAUGAUUGCAGCAAAGGCUAGAGCACUAUUGGGUGUGAAAGAACGAUAUGUGUGAAGCCAUUGAAGAUCUUGAUGACAUGAGUAAAUUAGGACAAGGGUUUACGUCGGCCGAUCCUUUAGAGGAGGUGGAUAUUGGUGAUGGUACUGUACCAAGACCGACAUUUGUAAACAAGAAUCUUGAGCCUAUUUUUAAGGCCGAUUUAAUAAAAUUAUUGAAAGAGUAUGUCGGCUGUUUUGCAUGAAAUUUAUACUGAAAUGCCUGGUUUAAGCCGCGAGCUAGUUGAGCAUCGGCUGCCUAUCAAACUUGGUUUUAGGCCUCAUAAACAACCUGCUAGACAUUUUAAUCCUAUUAUUUAUGACCGAGUGAAAGAGGAAAUCAAUCGGUUACUUGAUGCUGAGUUUAUUAGGCCUUGUCGAUAUGCUGAUUGGGUUUCUAACAUUGUGCCUGUUGAAAAGAAAGGUACAGACAAGCUUUGUGUGUGUAUUGAUUUUAGAGAUCUUAAUAGGGCUUCACCUAAAGAUGAAUAUUCUAUGCCUAUAGCCAAUGUACUUAUUAAUGCUGCAUCUGAUCAUGGAAUGAUCAACUUUCUUGAUGGCAAUGCUGGAUAUAAUCAAAAUUUUAUGGCCGAAGAGGAUGUAUCCAAAACGGCUUUUGUGUGUCCAGGAUUUGUUGGUUUGUUUGAGUGGAUCGUUAUGAUGUUUGGUUUGAAAAAUGCUAGUGCUACUUAUCAAAGGGCUAUGAAUUUGAUUUUUCAUGAUUUGCUUGGAGUAGUGCUGGAUGUAUAUAUCCAUGACAUUGUUGUGAAAUCGGUCGGGCCUGAAUCCCAUUUGUUGAUUUGAGACUUGCAUUAGAAAGAAUGCGUCGGUAUGGUUUAAAGAUGAAUCCACUCAAAUGUGCUUUUAGUGUAUGGGCUGGGAAGUUCUUGGAUUUUGUAGUGCAUGAGAAAGGAGUUGAAAUUGAUCUUAAGAAAAUUGAGUCUAUCAGGAAAUUACAAACUCCUACUUGCAAAAAAGAGUUGCAGAAGUUCUCGGGCAAGGUGAAUUAUUUGAGGAGAUUUAUUUGAAACUUGUCCGGGAAGGUGAAUACGUUUACUCCUUUACUUCAGUUGAAGAAUGAAACUGAUUUUACUUGGGGGGCAAAGCAGCAAGAAGCAUUUGAGGAAAUUUUGAGUUAUUUAUCUUCACCGCCCAUUCUUCAGGCUGCGAAGCAUGUUAUUCCUUUUUAAUUAUAUAUAGCUGCCGAAGAGGGUGUUAUUGGGGCUGUUUUGACUCAAGAAACCGAAGGGAAGGAACAUGUUAUCGUUGAAAUUGAUGAAAUUGAUGAAAGGACAAAUUGUAGCCGAUUUUAUCGUUGAGCAUAGGAUUAAUGAGCAACUUUAUUUGAAUGUCAGUUAUAUUACUUUUACCCCUUGGAAGUUGUACUUUGAUGGAUCGGUUUGCAAAAGUGGCUGCGGCGUUAGUGUGGUACUUAUUUCACUCAACGGGGCUAUUUUUGAGUUUCUUAGCCGGUUGGAUCAUAAGUGUACCAAUAAUGAAACUGAGUAUGAAGCCUUGUUAUUCAGUUUGGAAAUUUUGCAAGAGAUGGGGGUUAAACAUAUUGAAGCUUAUGGUGAUUCUCUGCUAGUAGUGCAGCAAGUGUCUAAGGUAUGCCAAUGCUUAGAUGGGUUUUUAAGUGUUUUAUCUUGAUAAAUGCUUAGGCAUAAUAGCAUGUAUGGAUGAAUUUACUAUUUAUCAUAUACCGAGGGAAGAGAAUCCAAGGGCUAAUGCUCUGGCACAGCAAGCGUCUAGCUAUAAUGUUCAUAAAAGGAACUUUCAUGAAAGAAAGCUGACGCUUUGUGAGGCCGAGUGUGUGGCGGAACCGCCCAAAUUAACCCGACUAAAAUGCACUUGAGUCGCCUGUCGGUGUUUUAGACCAGCAACCCGCCUAGGGGGUACCCUAGGUGGUCUUUUGUGCGGUAAGGAUCGUCGAGAAUCAAGGAAUCAAUGGUGACGCAAGGAACACGAUUUAGACAGGUUCGUGCCGCUAGAUCGUGUAAAACCCUAUGUCCUGUAUGUUGGUUUGUAUUGAUCUUGGAUGAACUGGAGUUGUUCUUUUGAGGGGGGUCCUUGCCCGCCCUUAUAUACACGGGAGGGCAGGGUUACAAGUCUGAGUCGUAGUCGAGUACAAUUAUAGAGUCCUACUCGGUGUGGCCCGUGUAGUUUUCUAUAUACAUACUUGACUAGUCCGAGUGGGAUACGCCUAUCCCUUAUCCUGAUCGUAUCCGAGUACGCCCCUUAGUGGGCCGUCCAAGAUCUACUCGUGGGCCUAGGGUGCAUGCCCGACAAGCCCCUGAGUACUUUGUAGUCGUGUGCCACAGUCUUGGGUACUGCGGGCGCUAUCCGAGUAGUUCGUCAUAGAGGUUGCAGACCGAAGUGCUCGAGUACUAUCGCGCGGCUGGAAGGUACUCUUCUUGUUCCUUCGAGUUGUUUGUAUUCCGAGAAUUUUUAUAUGGUAGUGCGAUGUCAAUCGCACUCCAUAUGGAGUAGCCCCCUAGCCUUAGGUUGAGUCAAAGAGUCAGGCUUAGGGUCAAUCCUGCCUUUUUACCUAUUCUACCUUUGGAGAUCUUGAAAAAAGAAAAAACUGACCAUCGGGUACGGUACCCGUAGCCCCCGAGCACUUAGGCGAUCUCUGUCGUUGAAGUGGUCAGCAAUCCGUUGAAACGAGUAGCCGUUGGGUGUUUAAGGCAAUUAAUCCGCUUAAAAAUCCGUCUGUUGUGUAAAUGACGCUUGGAAUCCGAAGGUGGCGGAGAUAAAAUUGGAGGGCCCCCUUUCGGUUAGGUUUGCACCCUACUGUAAUCAGAUCUGUUUUUCUUCCUCUCCUCCACCUCUGCUCCGCGUUUGCGCUGUCACAAUUGCCAAGUGCCGCUUCCGCAAUUGCUCCCCCUUGAGAGAGAUCCAAGAGUGAGUGCCUUUUGCUAAGGUUAAAAUCGGCGGAUGCGCACCAAAAAGAUGGGUAAGAAACCCGAGAACAUCUAGGGCAAGGCUCCGGCGGCGGGCAAGGUGAAGUCCAAGAAGGGGAAGGAACUGGUGCUGCCGGCGCCGAAGGUGGGGUCGACGAAUUAGACUGUGCCGCCGCCGCCUGGAGUGAUGUGGCAGCAUUCGGUGAUGAAGGAGGAGGCCGUGCAAGCGCUAGUCGAUGCCAACCUUCUGCAGACGAAGGAAAUACUCAAGUGGCGCCCAGCUUUUCCAAAUGCGUGGCAAUUUGAGGAACAUCCAGGCGAGACAGUGGAGAGGGGGUUGGAAGUGACCACCUCCGACUUCUUCAGAGGUAUCUUUGAGUACUAUAAGCUUCAACUUGUUCAUUUGAACCCCAAUAGUGUACUGCAUAUGUCCAUUUUCGUACACCUCUGUGAAGUUUAUUUGGGAGUUCCUCCAAGCCUCGAGUUGUUUAGGAAGUUGUUCUGCUGUAAGCCUUAGCCAAGUGCACAAAGGACAGAAGUCUUUGGAGGCGCCGGGUUCCAACUCAGGAACUCGGGCGCAUAUAUUGAGUAUAACUUGACUGACUCCCAUGGGAAGUGGAAGAAAAGGUGGUUCUACAUUGGGAACCAUGAUCCUCGCUUGCCUUUGGUGACUGGCCACGCGCCGAAGCAUGUAGAAAACUGGGUGAGCGAACCCGAAGACACCCCAAAACUUGACCACUUGAUGCAGCAGAUUACCGAGUUGAAGGCACUCGGUCUUACUAGGAUUAAUGUGGCGGCCAGUUUUCUGAAGAGAAGAGUUCAGUCGCUUCAGAAACGUGCUCACUCGGGGAGUGAGUACACAGGUCUUAAUGAUCCAUCACGUAUGUCCAAUGAAGAUAUAUCCGAUGAUGAUGUAGAGGCGCUGCUGGCUAAGUUCUUCAGGAACUAUCAGGGAGUACUAGUGAUCCCUGCCGCUCUUUGGCAGUAUGAUGCCUGGUAUGAGCCAGAAGUGGUACGUUCUGGUGCUUGACUUGUACUUUUUGACUUGUGUAAUAUUUGUUUACUAUCGACCUGUUGUUUUGUAGUCUCGAGUUCUUGCCGGCUACUUAGCGCAGUCGGAAGAAGAGGAGGAAACUGUUGUCGAGGAGUCAGAGGACGAGCCCUCUCCUCCUGUGAAGAAACGUAGAGUAGUCCGCAAAAUGUCUGCGGCUAAGUCUGCUUCAACCCCUGAGAAGUCUCGGGGUACCAAGGUAUGUAGUCGUGUACUAAAUUGUAGCUGAUGAAUUUGAACUUGCAAUCAUUGUGACUACUUUGUCUUGUUCAAAAGGCUGUGGAUACGGUACUUGGUGAUGACGCGGUUGCUUCUGGAGAAGUAGCCAUGACCGACCCAGGCGUCGGUAUUGCAUUUGUUGAGGAGGUACCAGAGAGAGUGCCGUCAAUGGAUGCUGGAGUAGCCCACGAGCUGACCGCACAAGCUUUGCCAGCUACCACACUGGCAGUUGCUGACCAGGCAGUCUUGGGGUUGCCCGCCGGAGUAGCAGGUGUUGCGAAGGAGGUGUUGUUAGUAGUCGCUACUGGUUCCUUGUUGUCCAGUGUAAUCGCCAGUGGUAAGCUUUCUAUCCAAACUAGUUUCGCUUGUUUGAUUUCUGUUGUGGUCUUGACUUCUGUUUCCUAGGUUUUGGCGAGAAGACAGCGCCGACAGCUGUUCCUAUGGCGCCAAGUACUCGGCCACCAAUUGCUGAGAAGAAAUGUGUGCGAUUUCCGCCAUGCUCAACCCGGUGAGCUUGCUUGUCUAUUGUAUAGCUUUAAGUUGUCUUGAAGUCGUGUAAUGACGUAUUUUGAUGUAGAGAUGCAAAGGAAACUAUCCCUGUAGAGACAGAGGUAGAGUCGGAUCCCCCGACUACAUUAUCUGCUCCCUUGGAGGAUUUGAUUGUUGAGGAAGUACUCGAAGUCUACGCUGAUCGCCUUGGAGCUACUAUGUCUAUGCUUCAAGACGUCAUCCGUUCGGUGGAGAUCCCCGUCGCCGCGUCGGGUUCGGGAAGUGCUACCUUAUCAACAUCCACUGGUUGAUCUCUGGCUAUGGUGGGUGUGGAAAAAUCCAAAGAGGCAAUUCCUCAAGGUAUGGCUCUGUAGUCCUGUUAUUGUAGUUGUGGCAAUCAGUGACUGAUGAUAAAUGUUUCAAGUGCCACUUUGGGUGCGACUCCUCAUCUUGCGGAAAGUACUCAAAGACUAGUACUCAGCCUGCCAUCCAACUCAGAGUUCCAGAGGGCUGUUGACGUUUUCCGAAGCUUCCAGGUGAAUUUUCUUUGCUUUGUUACAUAGCGAGUAACUGUGAUGGUUUUGACCGAUCGUAUUGCUUUGCAUACUCGGACCCUUUAGGAACAAAGUCAUCAAUUGGAGCAGGACUGCGCUCGACUUACAGAAGCCUUGAGGGUUCACGAAGUUGGAGCGAAGUCUUUUGCUAUGGAACGGUCGGAUCACGAGGUCCUGUAGCAAAAACUGGAGAGCCGCUACAAGUCUCUGAACAAAAAAUAUCAAGGUGAGUACUUUGCAUACUUCAAGUAUGUCUGAUUGUAGUCGGCUGUGGUUGAACUUAUCUGUUUUGCAGAGCUCAAGAGGCAAGAGGCUGCUGCGAGGAGCCAAGUCCUCGACUGGAGAAAUGCGCACGAUCGAGUGGCGGAUGAAGCUGAACAUCUUCGAGCCGCGUUGGCAGAAGCACAGGCUGCUUGCGAGCACCAGCGGGACAGGAAGAUGCAAAAUGGAGUGAUGCUUGCCAUGGCCAUGGUGGCAUGUUGAGAUCAUGCCCAGACCAUGGGAAGACUCCAAGGCGAACUCCAGGAGUUGACUGUAGCAGCUAAAGAUUUGGUGAACACCAUAGCCCCCAUGGAAGAGGACGCGGGGCCUCAAUCGCUAGUCGAGCGAUUGAAGGCUGCCCCGAGUAAGGUGGCGGGACUCUGCAAAGCUAUUUGCAAAUAGUUCCUUGCUGUUGUGAAGCCAUACUACCCGAGGGCGGACUUGGUGGCAGCUGGUGACGGCGUGGCUCGCAACUGCACAGAAGAAGCAUAUGCGCAGUACCUCGAGGAGGCGGAGCCUAUCGCGUCGAAGAUGUCGGAGUUUGUCUCUCCAGAAGAGCCUUGAUCUUUAUGUACUCUUGUAGUUAUUCUGGAGUAUUGUGGACGAUAUUUUGAUAAAUGGAUGCUUGCUCAUUUCUUUUGUUGCUUGAAGAGGUUGUAUUGCGAAGAGUAGGUUUACUCCGUCUUGCCCAACCCAAAGUUGUGGGAUCGGCUAAGCCCGACCCCUAAAAGGGGGGAACUCCGCCUCGCUCAACCCUGGGUCCCAGGUUCGGAUGCGCCCGACCCUCUGAGGGAGGUACUCCGCCUUGCCCGACCCUUGGUCCCGGGGUUGGCUGAGCCCGACCCCUUCUCGUAAGGCUUCGUGUCGCCCGACCCUUAGGUAAAGGGUCAGCCUGCUCUAAGCCCCCGUGGGUCAUGCUUGGCUGGAAAAUUUCUAAGUGUCGAGUAGUCGUGAUGCUGUCGAGUACUCUGCUUUUUGAGGAUGCACGGGUGUACUGUACUUUUGUCCUUUGUGGAUGCACGGGUGUACUAUACUCUUUUGUCCUUUGUGGCAUAACUGCCUUCACGUGGGCAGAGUCAAAAGUCAUCAGAGUCAUUGAUCACGGGCGCAUAGUAACUCCUAGGUGGGUGGUAGUUGUAGCGCUUGGCUAUAAAUAGAUCCCUGGAGGUCGACUCAAACCAAGUUUUUGAGUAGCAAUGGAUUGCCUUCGGUUAUUGUUGUUUGAGUCUAGAGAGCCAUCAAAGAGUGCACUGGUGCUAGAACAUUCCUCGUAGAUUGAGGUCACCUUCCCUCCACAGACUCCUGCGCUCGUAGGGAUAGCUGUGAUGCUAAUCCUUGUAGGAGGUUUCAUCGCGCGCCUCAUCUUGCAGCUCGUGAUCCAGUGAAGUAUGCGCUGGAAUUCGCGAGUGAUAGGUGACGAGUGCCGCGUUCUUUAUCCCGCUCUCUUAGAGGUGGAGGUGUGGCCGUAGAAUGGGUUGGCUCCGCAAGGCUAGCAAAAGAGCAGCCUUGGUUCCCUCUAGGCGCGAUGCGCGGAUUCAUCGUUGCCGCUGUUAAGGCAGUGGCGAUGCAGGAGUUCCUAGCAUUGCCUUGGGUAGAGGACCUGGAUAUGGCUGCAUUUUGCGCAGCUUCCUUGCGUGUAGGCCCUUCCCAUUGUAGCCGGCAGACCUGAAUGGCCUUGUGAUAUAGUAAAAGCCUGAGGCUUAAAUGCAGCCCGCCAGUAGGCAGUUGCUUGUAGUCCUUAUGUAUUUCGAAUACUCCUACUCAUAUGUAACUUGAUGAUGUAUCUUCGGUUUUGAGUGAAGAAUUACUUUACGGAAACAUUGUACCAAGGCAGUGAUCCUUGUUGAGUUGAUAAUUCUUGAGUCAAGACUAAUGUAUCUUGAAGUCGGUAGUCGAGCUGUUAGCUCGAGUAGUCAUAAUGAGUUAUUGCCUUGAAGCGAUUACUCGGGUGCUGCUAUGGGUAAUAGCGACAAAGGUGUUCCAUAUUCCAAGAGUUUGGUACUUGUUCUCCUGAAAGCUCUUGGAGUCUGUAAGAUCCAGGUCCCAUAAUCUUUCAUACGAUGUAAGGACCCUCCCAUGGUAAAUUGAGUUAAUGCAACCCUGUUGUGUCUUGGAUACACUUGAGGACCAUGUCGCCCAAGUUGAAAGAUCUUUCCUUGAUGUUACGGUCGUGGUAACGCCUCAAACUGUCAAGGUAUCUAGCAGAUUGCACUAGUGCUGCACAUCUUGCUUCUUCUAGACUAUCUAUAUAUGUUCGCCUUGUUUCUUUUGCCAAUUAUUCGUCAUAUUGUUCAACUGAAGGUGAUUGCCACAUGAUGUCGGUGGGUAGUAUGGCUUCCGAGCCAUACAUGAGGAAAUAGGGUGAGAGCCCAGUAGUUUUGCAUGGUUGGGUACGUAGGCCCCAUAGGGCAUUGGGUAACUCUUUGAGCCAUUUGCCACUUUUGGUGUUGCCAACGUCAUGUAGUCUUUUCUUCAGGGCGUCGAGUAUCAUGCCAUUAGCAUGCUCGACUUGUCCAUUGGCUCGUAGGUGAGCGACCGAGAUAUAGCGGACGUCGAUGCCGCUAUUCUCGCAGUAUUUCCAAAAGACGUGAUUGUUGAAGUUUGACCCUAGGUUUGUGAUAAUCCCAUUGGGAAAGCCGUAGCAGUGUACGAUUUCAUCUAAGAAGUCGAGGACCCGGUCUGCCUUGGGACAAGUGACUGGUUUGACCUCGAUCCACUUGGUGAAUUUGUCGAUUGCCACGAGUACUCGGUUGAAUCCUCCUAGUGCAGUUGGUAAUGGCCCUAUCAUGCUGAGCCCCCAGCAAGCAAAUGGCCAUGUUGGAGGUAUUGUGACUAGCUUGUAGGCUGGUACAUGCUGUUGUUUGGUAAAGAAUUGACAACCUUUGCACUUCUGAACUAGUUGUUUAGCGUCGGCUAGAGCCAUUGGCCAGUAGAAGCCUGCUCUGAAAGCCUUGCCAACUAUUGUCCGCGAAGAGGCAUGGUUGCCACAGAUUCCUUUGUGAAUUUCCUCUAAGAUUUCUUGGCCGUCUUCCCGGGUAACACACUUCAUGAGUACCCCGGAUGAUGCACCUUUCCUGUAGAGCUUGUCUCCGACUAGAACGUAAAUUUUUUACUUGCCGAGAGAUUUGUUCAGCCUUAUUUUUGUCGGAUGGUAACUGGUGAUCUUUGAUGUAGUCGAUGAAGGGUGUCCUCUAGUCGACUUCUAUCAUCAUGAUUUCACAAGAGACGUCAGCAGUCUGGACCGCUGGCGGUGUGACUUGGUCAGGUAUUGACGGCUUGCGCAGUUCGUGUAUGAAAAUUCCUGCUGGAACCUCUGCGCGAGUUGAGCCCAUUUUGGAUAAGACAUCAACGGCAAUGUUGUUGUCGUGGACGAUGUGAUGAAAUUCCAAGCCUGAGAACUUGUUUUCCAGUUUACGAACUUCUUUGCAGUAAGCGUCCAUGUUGUCCUUGUUUCGGUCCCACUCGUCAUUGAUCUUAUUUAUAAUGACUAGUGAGUCGUCGUACACCAAGAGUCUUUUGAUGCCAAGGGAGAUUGCAAGGUGAAGGCCGUGUAGCAGUGCUUCGUACUCGGCUUCAUUGUUAGAUGCUUCCCAGAAGAUUUGCAGUACGUAUUGAGCUGGUCUCCCUUGGGGGAGAUGAGUGAUACACCUGCACCGGCCCCUUCAAGUUUGAGGGACCCGUCGAAGUACAUUACCCAGUGCUCCGGCCGCUCGACUGGUGCUGGUAGUUGGUUUUCAGUCCAUUCAGCCACGAAGUCGACCAAAGCCUAGGAUUUGAUAGCUAUCCUUGGCUUGAAAUCUAGGGUGAGAGCUCCGAGUUCAACUGCCCAUUUGGAGAUUCUACCUGUGGCGUCUAUGUUGUGAAGAAUUUCACCGAGCGGGAAGUCAGAGAUGAUUGUGAUGUUGUGCUUCCGGAAAUAAUGACGUAGUUUCCGGGAGGUGAGCAGGAUUGCGUAUAAGAGCUUUUGUAUCGGUGAAUACCGAGUUUUGGAGUCCGAGAGUACUUCGCUGACGAAGUAGAUAGGUCGUUGGACCUUGUAAGCGUGGCCCGAUUCAGACCGUUCAACUACUAUUGCCAUGCUCAUGACAUGAGUAGUAGCCGAUAUGUAUAGGAGCAAGUCUUCGUUUGGAGAAGGAGCGAUGAGUACAGGAGGCUUUGACAGAAAGUCUUUGAGUUGUGUUAGUGCCUUGUCUACCUCUUCCAUCCAUUUGAACUUGUCCUGGCGUUUGAGAAGCUUGAAGAAGGGUAGUCCCCAUUCUCCAAGUCUUGAGAUGAAUCGGUUGAGAGCGGCCAUGUAGCCUGUGAGUUUAUGCACAUCCUUGAUGUUAGCUGGUGCUUGCAUGUUUGUGAUGGCAGAUAAUUUUUCUGGGUUGGCCUCAAUGCCGCGAUGGCUAGUGAUGAACCCGAGUAGCUUGUCGGAAGGUACUCCAAAGACGCACUUAGUAGGAUUGAGUUUCCAUCGGAAAGCGUGUAGACUGGAGAAAGUUUCCUCCAGAUCAACGAUGAGUUCCUCCUGGUUUCUUGUUUUGACGACUACGUCGUCGACAUAAGCUUCAACAUUGCGGUGAAGUUGCUUUUCAAAGCACAUCUGUAUGGCGCAUUGAUAAGUUGCCCCUGCAUUUUUUAGUUUGAAGGACAUUAUUUUGUAGCAGAAAGCUCCGAAAGGUGUGAUAAAAGCUGUAUGGCUUGAUCUUCUUCCUUGAGGCUUAUCUGAUGGUAGCCGGAGUAGCAGUCGAGAAAACAUAGUAAAGCGCAUCCAGCGGUGGAGUCAACCACUUGAUCGAUCUUGGGGAGUCCCAAAGGGUCUUUUGGACAGUGCUUGUUGAGGUCAGUGUAGUCGACGCACAUCCUCCACUCGUUGUUUUUCUUAUGCACGAGUACGGGAUUUGCUAGCCAGUUAGGGUGAAAGACUUCUUUGAUGAACCCUGCUGCGAGUAGCUUGGCCAACUCUUUCUUGAUUGCUUCUCGUCUGUCUUGAGAGAAUCUGCGGAGUCGCUGCCGUUUUGGGGUAGCUUUGGGGUCAACAUUUAGAGAGUGCUCGAUCAGCUCCUUGGGCACACUUGGCAUGUCAGCCGGUUUCUAAGCAAAGAUAUCGUGGUUAGCCCGAAGGAAACUGACGAGCGCGGAUUCUUAUUUAGGAUCUAGCCCCCUGUUCCGAUCAGGGCUGUCUUGGAAAGGUUGCCCGUCUGGAGGUCGACUGGUUGAAGUCUUGCUCGCUGGCAGGUUUCACCUUUCUAGACCCCGACUUGUUUUUUGGGAUCUUUAGUUCGGUUGGAUGGAGCUUAUUUGAAACUGUGAAGACUUGUUGCAUGAGAUUGAGUGCUUGAGAAGUCGCAGCAAUUUUCACAGCUUCAGUGUCGCAUUCGUAGGAUCGCCGUAGAUCUCCUCGUAGCGUUAGUUCUCCCUUGGGGCCUGGCAUUUUGAGUACCAAGUAAACAUAAUGUGGUAUGGCCAUGAACUUGGCAAGUGCUGGCCUUCCGAGUAUGGCGUGGUAAGAUGUCUCGUAGUCGGCGACUUCAAAUCUGAUGUACUCCGUACGGUAGUGUUCUUUAGUUCCAAAGGUAACUAGAAGGAUGACUUGUCCUAGUGGUAUAGCUGCAUUUCCGGGUACGAUACCGUAGGAAGCUUAAUCUGUUGGAGUAAGCAUUUCAGUGAUGUUGAGGCACAUCUUCCUCAAUGUCUUGGCGAAAAUAACGUUGAGUCCACUUCCGCCGUCGAUGAGUACUUUGGUUAACUUUGAGCCUGCCACGACUGGAUCGAGUACUAGGGGGAAACGGCCUGGUUCUGAGAACUUGGUCCAUUGGUCCUUUCUGCUGAAGGAAAUGGGCACUUCUAACGAUUUUAGUGGUGUUGGAUCCGUUGGUUCAAUGGCCAUGAUCUCCCUGAGCACGAGUUUGUUGGCUCGCUUGGAUGUGGUGCCUGGAAUACCGCCAAAGAUGACGUUGACAGUUUUUGAGGCGGUCUGGAAGUUGCCUUCUUUGUCUUCGUCGUUGUGGACUUUGUUCUUGCCCUUAUCUUUUUUCUUGGUGUACUCUUCAGGGGGUGGUGGUGCGGGUAAGUCUUGCAUUACUCGGCGCAUGCUGUAGCAGUCUAUUGUCGAGUACUUGCUAGUCAGGUGCCAUGGGCACUGCUUUUUGAGUAGUUCGGUGAAGGUUGGCCCUUCAUCGUUUUUACGAGAUCCCUUUUUCCCGGAGUUGGUCAUGGCAGCAAUAGUGUUGUCGGGCUUCCUUUUGCGGUUGUGAUUACUCGAAUAGUUGUUUCGAGUGUCAUUGUGUCAGGUUCUAUCUUGGUCCUUGUUGUUGUUGUUGUUGUCGCGUCCACGGUUACGGUGGGAGCCGAACCGUUAUCGCUCUUUGUCUUCUUUAUCUGCCCACUGUUGUACCAUAACUUUAAGAUCCUUGACAUUGGCUGGUCGUUGUCGGCCAAAGUCUUGGUAUGUUCGUCGAUCGUAGAGUCUGUUCUGGAAGCACUCGAUGAUGUCUGUUUCGGAAAUGUCAACUAUACUUGCCUUCUUUUCGAAGAACCAUCGCAGAUAGUCGCGUAAGGUUUUGCUUUCUUUUUGCUUGAUUUGACUCAAGUCGAUUUUGUUGCCUGGUCUAGCUAUGGAGCCGGCAAAGUUGUUGGUGAAAGCCUUUGUCAGAUCUGCCCAAGAGUCAAUUGACUUGGGUUUGAGUGACUCAAGCUAGGUCAGUGGUGCGGGUUCCAUGCAGAUGGGGAAGUGGAUGACUUUGGUGUCGUUAUUGCCCCCGGUUGCUUGGACGGCUAGUGAGUAGCAUCGUAGCCAUUGAAUUGGGUCCUGUUUGCCAUCAUACUUGGUGAUUCCAGUCGGCAUAAACUUCUCGGGUAGUUUUGUCUUCAUUACCCAAUUUGUGAAAGCAGGAAAAUUGUUGUAGUUGUCAACUUCUCGUUCGCGCCGACUGUUGAGGAUUUCUCGCAGAUCACUAAAGUUUGAUACUUCGUGGUUCUUCCGAGUAGGGCGAAUACUUUUUACCGAGUUGGUGCAGCUGGCCUCUCCAACAUUCUUAUGGCGUGCUGGGGCCUUGUGUUUGCUGGAGCCCUAGCUGUGCUGCCGGGGCUGGUUGACGACUUCAUUGUCGUUUCUUGGAACGUCGUUGUUGGCUGCAGCUCCUCGGCUGCCUUCUUGGUGAGCCGUGAUGCGAGGAACAGAUGGAAUUGGUGAUUCUUUGUCAAGUAACUUGUAGGCUUGCUCCGCGAGUUGUGCGAUUAGUCCGUUGCCGCGCUGCACGAGUUGAGCUGUGGCUUCGUUAUCCCUGUCUUGAGGCAUCAACGUUGUUAAAAGAUUGAUUGAGGCGAUUGCCGCGAGUGGAGUAUUGUGCUCUUGAGCCUGAACUGCGUCGAAAGCCCUUUCAAGGUUUGUGAUAGGAAUAUUUGCGGCCAUGGACUACCGUCGCUCGGCUCGAGUAGCAUUGUGCAUCCUUCUUUGGUUUCUUUGCUCGGAGGUUUCAUUGUGUGGGGUGUCAGCAGUGGACUCGUCUUCGAAGAUGUUGUCAAGUUGUGCUAAUCGACUGGGGGUUCUGUUCCGGCUGGUACCCGGGUUGUUCUUUUGAGUAAUAACAAGGACUUCCCUGUCUGGGUAGUAGCUUUCAAAGCUUGAUGUUGCAAUCUCUGUGGAGCUUUCCUCGCGAUUGGAAUUGAGUGGAACACCUUCUUGAUAUGGGAGGUUUUCUAUAUGGGCGACAAGGCGCGAGUCGUAGUCGCGAGCAAGAAGAGAUGGUCUUAAUCCUAGCCAAUGUAUGAAUGUGCCUUGUGAUGUUGAAGUUAUUACCAAUCCUUGGGCUGGACCAGAUAAUGGUAUCUCUGGCGGAUAAAAUGAGUCGGAGUCGACGUCUUCAUCGUGCCCGAGUUCGAGUUGGAUUUGAGUAAGAAAGCCUUGGUGAACUUUGAUUGCAUUGUGGAGUCCAUGCAGGAACCGCUUUGGAGUCGAAGCCGGGUCGAGAAGUGACUGAGACCGACUAGUCCGAGGCGAAGUCGAGUCCGACGCAUAGUUGAAUUCGAAGUUGUCGACUUCAAAAUCUUGGUUUUUUCUGAUCGGAUCUUCUGAUUUCUUCUCCUGAGCGUUGAUGAUCUAGCACCGGAACGAAUCCGAGCCAUCGGCGAUGCAGAGCCAGGAUCCGAAAACGAAGGUUGCGCCCGCUUCGAUGAUGAAGACGGGCUUGAUGACGAUCAUUGCCAUUGAGUUCGUGCUUAGAAACUCGACGAGUUCCCCUACCUGGUGCGCCAGCUGUCGGUGUUUUAUACCGGCAACCCGCCUAGGGGGUACCCUAGGUGGUCUUUUGUGCGGUAAGAAUCGUCGAGAAUCAAGGAAUCAAUGGUGACGCAAGGAACACGAUUUAGACAGGUUCGGGCCGCUAGAUCGCGUAAAACCCUACAUCAUGUAUGUUGGUUUGUAUUGAUCUUGGAUGAACUGGAGUUGUUCUUUUGAGGGGGGUCCCUGCCCGCCCUUAUAUACAUGGGAGGGAAGGGUUACAAGUCUGAGUCCUAGUCGAGUACAAUUACAGAGUCCUACUCGGUAUGGCCCGAGUAGUUUUCCAUAUACAUACUUGACUAGUCCGAGUGGGAUACACCUAUCCCUUGUCCUGAUCGUAUCCAAGUACGCCCCUUAGUGGGCCAUCCAAGGUCUACUCGUGGGCCUAGGGUGGAUGCCCGACAUCGCCUGACACGCGAUCAUGCACUUUAAGCAAGUCAACUUGGUCGUCCAUCGGAUUCAUCCAAUAAACCACUUACUCAGGAUCGAGAGGCAUUGCUCAAACGAGGGUGAGUGGGCACAGAGAUUACAACAUUCCCAUCACAUUAACAUAGUUCAACAAUUUAUUACAUCAGAGUUUUUGAAAUGCACAAAAGUUUGCAAGGUUGUGAACAACGAUGGAGUAAAACAAGCAAAAACUAAAUGUUGAUACACGAUAUCAUGACAAAGUCGAUCAUGACAUCAAUAAUCCCUACCCUCGCCGUCCGAGGAGGGAUCCCACUCGACUGUCAAGCCCGGAGGGAGCUGGGUAGGCCAAGUAGUGCCAGCAGCCACACUAUCGACAUUACCUGAAAAGUUAAGCCACAAACAAGGCUGAGCAACUAAUACUUAGCAAGACUGACCUGACAGGUGGUAACUAUACCACCGACUCCUAGACAUGCAAGGCUUUUUGGCUAUAGGUUUGUUUUUGCCAAAAUGCCUAAAGUUGGUCAACAUAUUGCAUAAUUUAAAUUAGGGAAACAUGCACUUGGCUUGCCUUUAGGAAAAGUUAGCGGGUCUUCGGGGUCUUGAUCUAGCUCGACCUCAACUUCCGCAUGGUGUAGCUCCGCGACGGGUUCCUCUUCUAGCGUAGGGUGGAGCUCGUAGGUUCCGUCAGUGAUAUUAGCUUCUACAUGACAUGCACAUGCAAAGAGUUUAGAUUUGUCCAUGCUUUUGUAUGAAUGAUUUAAGGCAUGACUUCUUACUAGAAAGAAAGUUGCAUUUCGGCCACAUUCACCUAAACAAGGUUCUAACUUUCAUUAAGUCAAAACUAAGCUACUCCAAGUGGUUUCAUAUUUUUCUCAGCUCUGGAUUAAAACUUAUGCAAAAAGAAAGAUUUAACCCUAGAUUUCAAAUAUAAGGGUUAAACAGUGAUUUAAAGUUCUAAUCGAGAGACCUAAGUAUUUUUCUGAGCUUUAACUCACUGAAACCUACACCACAGAGUUGGAUUUACCUUUUCAGCAUUUUUCUUCGAUUUACUAUGAUUUAAAAGGCCUAAGCAAGAAAAUAGAAACUAGACAGUUUACUGAGUUCAACAAAAGUGGUUUUCCAUUUUUCUGAUUUUUCUACGAUUUAUGGUACAUUUACAAAAUUUAUCCCAUUUUCUGCCGAUUUAAAACAAUAAACCGAAAACAACUUACAAACUUACAUUCGGGUCUACGGUUUAUUUGCGCAAGGGUCCCUAGUUCUUGCGCUAAGGCCCCUGGAAGAAGCUAAACAGCACAGAUAGAUCCUCGCGGUGGCCGGCGGCGAUAUUCGCCCGAUUCCGGCGAGGUGAGGCUCGGGCCAAGGCAACAAGUCGCUCAGAGACGUGCGCGGUGGUGCGGCGGAGCGAGCGGUGCUGUCAGCGAGGUACGGGGUGGCGCGGAGGUGGAGGCUCCAUGUGAGACCCGUGUGGCGGCAUUGGAAGUAGCGGAGGGCGGCGUAGGCGGCGCCAUAAGUCCUUAUAUAGGGCCAGGGAGGUGCGGCGGAGUGAGGUGGAGCUUCAAGCACGGGCGGAUAGGAUCAGAGAGCUCGGUGGGCUGCGGGCUAGACCUCCAUUGGCGGCGGCGCUAUUGGCCGGGGCGCGAAGACCACGGGAUAGGAUCUCCCGGUCAUUGGCCUCGGGGAAAAUGAGUCGUGCAAGCACGGCUUUGCCGCGACCGGGGGUUGGCGGAGCAAGGCGCGCAUGUGGUCGCUGUCCGGGUGGCGAUAGGCAGUCGGAGCUUGGCCGGUCCGAGGCGGCAGUGUGGCAUCCUUCGACGGGCGGAGCUUGCUCGGGACGGAGCGAAGAGAUGUGUGACGCCAGGGGCAGGAUAAGCGCGCUCGCCUACUAGGUAGCCGGGUGCGUGAGCGGUCUUGUCACGGCGGCGAGUUGGGCGACGGCGAGCUCGCCUGUGGAUGGCGGCCACGCGGCGGGCGGUGCACGGGCAAACGUGCGGGCGUACUCCGGGCGCGCGCUGGGCGGGGUGCCCUUUGAGGCAGCCAAAAGGGCCGGUUUUUGUGGCCUUUUUCUCCAAACUUUUCGAAAGAAUUCGUGGAACUCCAAAAGUAAAACUUGUAGACCUGACAUCCAGCUUCAAACUUUACAAAAGGAGUUUGCUUGAAAACGAGAUGAAUUUGAAACUAUGGAGUUGCAAAGUUUGGCAGAACGCCGGCCUUCGGAGACUUAGACAGAUCUCGGUUUUGCUGUUUUUUCAGCAUUUUGGCCAACUUUGACUUAGAUUUUGAGUAGCUUCCCAUUUGAAUCAGGCCAAAGUGUAAUUGAAGGAAUAGUUCUUCGGUCUUAGGAAUCCAACUUCUAUUAAGGACUUUUCUUGAGUUCAGUUCAGAUUUUUGGAGGAACAGGCUCGCCAAGAUGCGCGCUCUGGACGUUUUCCACACUUAGCGUUGGGAUGCCAAAAAGGCUGAGUUGACGGUUUUACGCAAUUUUGACCAAGUUUUUGAGCAGGUUCAGUUAUGAUUUGGACCUGGAUCAGUGUAACAAAGUUGGAACACACUCAAAGAACUACAACUUCUAUUAAGGGUCUGACUUGAGGUUAGAUAUGGAAUUGUGAGAUAACAGGUAUCAAAGUCGAGAAAAAACACGAAUUCCAGGACUUCGGUCAAUUGCAGGGUUUUAAAGUACUCCUGAUUUAAAACUGGUUUUUUACCUUCUCCCACUCUGAAUCAAGCAAAGUGUUAUUAAUAAAAGUUGUUUGAAUUUAAAUGUUUUACAACUCCUAUUUAGGCAAAACUUUAAGUUUAUAUAUAAAAACUCAAGUUUCCUAUUUAACUCCAAAAUGAGCUUUUUAGGAGCAAAUUGGACAUUUCACCCCUUUGACUUAGUGACUAAUGACUUGCUCAAGUUUAACUAUACCUAAUUAAGGUAGAUUUGUUACAGCCUACCCCCCUUAAACGAAUCUCGCCCCAAGAUUCUAGUGAAGAAAGGAACUAGUGUGGCUUGUGCAACGUACCUCCCUGAUCAAAAAGAAAACCGCGAAAAUUAGUGUUGAGGUAUUCUUCUGUUUCCCACAUCGCUUCAUCUUCCAUAUGAUUACUCCACUGAAUUUUGAACAUUUUCACCAUUUGUCUACGAGUAUGUCUUUCUUUCCGGUCGAGGAUCUUAAUAGGAUACUCCUUGUAAGAUAAAUCAGGUUCGAUCUCCCAUUCUUCCGGUGCAAGAAUUUCUAUUGGAACUCGAACACACUUUUUGAGUUGCGAGAUAUGGAAAACAUCGUGUAUCGUAGGAAUCCUCUCCGGGAGUUUAACUCGGUAUGCUACAGAUCCACAAAUUUCCACAAUUUCAUAUGGACCAAUAUAGCGUGGAGCCAACUUUCCCCUUACUCCGAAGCGUUGUAUGCCCUUAGUCGGUGAUACUUGGAGGUAUACAAAAUCCCCGACUUCAAAUUGGAUAGGUCUCCUCCUCUUAUCAGAAUAGCUCUUUUGUCAGGACAGGGAGGCCUUAAGGUUUUCUCGGAUAACUCUCACUUUUUCUUCGGUCUCGAUUACCAAAUCAGGUCCAUAAACCGUUCUUUCUCUUGGUUGUGACCAACUUAAUGGGGUUCGACAUCUACGUCCAUACAAGGCUUUGAAAGGUGCCAUUUUCAAGCUAGCUUGGUAGCUAUUGUUGUAUGAAAACUAUGCUAAGGGCAAACAUUUAUCCCAGCUCUUGUCGUAGUGAAUGACACAAGCGCGUAGCAUAUCUUCUAAUAUCUGGUUGACCCUCUCAGUUUGUCCAUCUGUCUGGGGGUGAUAUGUGGAGCUACGAAUCAGCUUAGUGCCAAGCGAAGACUAUAAUUGUUCCCAAAAGCGUGCUACAAACUGACUACCUCGAUCUAAGAUGAUCGUUUUUGGCACACCAUGUAGGGAAACAAUCCAGUCAAGAUAUAGCUCUGCAUAUUUCUGUAUGGUGUGAGUGGUGUGUAUAGGAAGGAAAUGCGUUGUUUUAGUAAGUCGGUCCACUAUAACCCAUAUGGAGUCAUGCUUGCGAGAGGUAUUAGGUAAUCCAACUAUGAAGUCCAUGCUUAUGUCCUCCUACUUCCAUGAGGGAAUAGGCAGCGGCUGCAAGGUGCCAACUACCUUCAAGUGGCUUGCUUUAACUCCUUGAUAGGUAUCGCAUUCCGAGACAUAACGUGCAAUAUCUGGCUUCAUCCCACUCCACCAGAAAUUUUGCCGGAGAUCAUGGUACAUCUUGGUACUACCAGGGUGAAUCGAAAACUUGGAAAGGUGUGCUCUGUCAAAAGUGCUUAUAUCCCUCAUCUUUCUACGCGAGUUUCUUCUUGAUAAGUUUUAUUUCUUUAUCCUCCAAUUGCGCUAGGACAAUUUGGUCAUCCAAUGUAGGCUCAAUGGAAAUAUGACUUAAGGUGCCAUGGGGGAUAACAUCCAAAUUGAGCUUAGCCAUCUCAUGGCAUAAGGUCUCUGCAAAGUUGGUUGCCAACAAGCAGUUACAAUGGGUUUUGCGACUGAGAGCAUCCGCCACUACAUUGGCUUUCCCUGGGUAAAAAUGCACUUCUAAAUCAUAGUCCUUGAUCAAUUCCAACCAUCUUCUCUGACGCAUGUUAAGAUUUGCUUGAGUCAAGAUAUGCUUGAGACUCUUGUGAUCCAUAUAGAUGUUACAACGAGUUCCCAUAAGAUAAUGCCUCCAUAUUUUCAGAGCAUGAAUGACCGCUGCUAAUUCAAGAUCAUGAGUAGGAUAAUUCAGCUCAUGUGGCCAUAGCACUCGCGAGGCAUAGGCAGUGACUCGGCUGUCUUGCAUAAGAACACAUCCAAUUCCAGUGCAAGAGGCAUCGCAAUAAACAUCGAACGGCUUAGUGGUGUCUGGCUGAUCUAAAACUGAUGCGGAGGUCAACAAUCUUCUCAAUGUGUGGAAAGCUUCUUCACAUUUGUUGCUCCACACAAACCUAACUCCUUUCUUUAACAAUUCAGUCAUUGGCUUAGCUAUUUUCGAAAAAGUAAAAAAUGAAUCGCCGGUAGUAGCCUGCUAAACCGAGAAAACUUAAAAUUUGAUGAACUGAAGUGGGUGGCUUCGAGUCCAUCACCUCUUGAACUUUGCUUGGGUCUACUACUAUGCCGUCGCUGGAUAUAGUGUGUCCCAAGAAUUUAACACUAUCCAGCCAAAACUCGCACUUUGAGAAUUUGGCAUAUAGUUGGUGAUCCCUUAAACGUUGGAGAAUAGUGUGAAGGUGCUCUGCAUGUUCUUCCUCAUUCUUCGAGUAGAUCAGGAUAUUGUCGAUGAAUACCAUGAUGAAUUUGUCAAGUUCGGGCAUGAACAUCGAAUUCAUGAGAUACAUGAAAUAAGCCGGUGCAUUAGUAAGCCCAAAUGACAUGACUAGGUACUCGUAGAGUCCAUACCGUGUAGAGAAAGCAGUCUUGGGAAUAUCGCAUGGUUGGAUCUUGAUUUGAUGGUAGCCGGAACGAAGAUCAAUCUUGGAAAAUACUCUGGCUCCAGCUAACUGAUCGAACAAAACAUCUAUGCGGGGUAAUGGGUACUUAUUCUUUAUUGUCACCGCAUUGAGAGGACGGUAGUCCACACACAUACGUAGACUCUCAUCCUUCUUUUUCACAAACAAAGCUGGACAGCCCCAAGGUACAACCUUGGAGAAUGAAACCUUUUUCCAACAACUCAUGUAACUGAGUCUUCAACUCUGCCAGCUCUGCGGAUGGCAUCCGGUACGGUCUCUUUGAAAUUGGUGCGGUGCCUGGUUGCAACUCAAUAGCAAUCUCGAUAUCUCUAUCCGGCAGCAUACCCAGCAAAUCAUCUAGAAACACAUCGAGAUACUCGCAUACCAUUGGAAUGUCCUCCAAUCGGGCUUCAGUCAUGGGAUAGGCACAAGAAUUUUCGCACUCUUGGUGGGGGUAAGUGUAUGGUUGAGCUACCAUAUCCGGGUGAAUUUAUGUGGACUGCUCGGGUAGAGAUGUCUAAUGCCACUCAGUGCCGAAUCAUCCAAUCCAUACCCAAGAUAACAUCGAUCCCUUCUAAACCAUUGAUAAGGAGGUUUUCCUUAAAAAGGGUCUUUCCUAAUUGGAUAGGUACCUUGCAGCUCAUUUGGUAUGAGGCCACUUUCCCAUCCGGGGUAGAGAUCAUAUAUGCCCCUUUGGUGUGACAGAAAUUCAAACCACACCUAGCAUUAGUUCUAGCCCCAAUAAAACUAUGAGAGGCUCCUAAAUCAAACAGAAUAAGGACGGGUUGGUUAUGGAUAGAGAAGAUACCUGUCAUCACUGGUGCGCCUUCCGGAAGUUGGCAAGGUUGGUGAAGUUCAACCUGCCCUAUUGGACCUGCACCCUAGGCUUCUUCCCUUUGUUUCCCAUCACAUUGCUCUGACCAGGUUGUUGAUUCUUGUUGUGAGGGCAGUCCUUGGCAAGUAUCCCGUAUUCCCGCAGGUGAAAUAGCGGUUUCCAGUGACAGGGCGCGGCGCCAUUGGAAGGGUAGGCCGUGGCCCCUGUGGCUGGAAUCCAGGGAAACGGGGUGCUGCCUACGGUGGGGGUCGAGCAACCCAUAUCCCAGCCUGUGUGGGCCUGCGAGAUGCCUGUGGGGGAACCAUCCUGCAUUUCUGAGCAGGACUCAUUGAGCUUCCCUGGGUGAGAGCUAGGAACUCAUUGAGCUUGCACUCCAGAAGACCCUCAGGGAUAUGAUGGGCCCUGAACGCCGUCUUGAACUCCUCCCAGCUGACGACGUGGUCGACUGGCUGCAUGGCAUGAUAGUGGUCCCACCAAAGGAGGGCGGAACCACACAGCUGUUGUGCCGCAAACUAAGCCUUGUUCUCGUCUGGGCAAUGUGCGGCGAGGAGGGAGAACUUUGAUUUGAUGGCACGAAUCCAGGCGUCGGUGUCGAGCAGAUCCUCCGUCUUAUGGAAUAGAGGAGGUUGUGUCCCCAAGAAGUCCUCAUAGCAAGCAACAUGAGGUUGCUAAUGAGCUCUUCCUCCCUAGGGCUGCUGCUGCUGCCCUUGGGCUAUGUGCCUCAGCAGCUCAGUUUGAGCGGCCAAGAUCGCCUCUAGUGUGGGCGGAGGCGGAGGUGGUGGAGGCACCUGCCUCUGCUCGCUACUACUAGGAACAGAGCCGGAGCGUGUGCUGUGCACCAUUUGCAAGAUUCAUCAUUCCAUUAGUCACAUAAUCCCAAAAGCUUGCUUAAUCAUAAGGAAAAAUUAUGUGCUCAAUCAUAAGCGUUGGUCUUGCUGAUAGUGCGAAAACAACAAUUAUAUCUUUUAUUGAGUAGGUGCAUAUCUCUUCUCCGAAGUAUACCAAGGUUCUCAUCCUUAGCCAAGGGUUAGGGCAUGUCAUACAUAUCCAUUGCUAUUUUACACUUGCUGAUCGAAAAGGAAGGAAAGGGGUUGUUUAGUCAAUUGAGCGAGUUGCUGCCUGGGCUGAUUUUCAACAAGCUGAGUGGCGGAGUUUUGGUUCUAACGGGAGUUUGACAGAUCCAAAGGAGCUGAAAUUUUACGAGCGGUUAGAACACAAGUGUCCGCACAACUUUGGUAUUCAAACCUUGGAUCAAAAAUGAGUGGAUACUGGGUUAAAACUGAGGAGAAACAGCCAUGGAAUUUCUACCAUAUUUUUAAGACAUUACGACUAACCCUUCGCAAAGGCAAGUCCUUACAUGGAAUCAUUUUUUCAACACAAGGAUACUCAACUCAAGCUAACCUAUUACAUCACUAGCCCAAAAUAUAGGUCGCCGAGGAGUACAACAAAAGAAACUGCUCACAACAUGUCGAUACAUCUAGAAGUCGUCAAGGUUGCCUACUGAGGCAAAGCUAAGUGCAGGAGAGGGAGCGUCGCCAACUCGGGGCUGCGGGGUGGCCUCCUCAAAAUCCAUGCUCGAAAAGCCCUCAAUCUCCUUGGGCUCCUCCUCCUCCUGAGCCAUAGGCUCAUCCUGCUGCACCUGUAAGGCGUGAAUAGCAUUAAGCUCAGCGUGGUGCUCCUGUAGGUGCUCAUUAGCAUCAGCCAACAUCAUGUUCACAUCAUAGAACUGAUCAGCCAACAACUCCAUGUCAUGCUCCAUGUCCACUAUCUCCUCCUCUAAGUCAGAAAUCCGAGUCUGCAUAUCAGCAAUCUGGAUAUCCUUCUGUACCAACUCAAGCAACAAAUCCACCAUACCAUUUUGCACGGUGGUGAGAGCAACCUAAUUGGCCACCGCCAUCCCAAUCACGGUGGUCAUAGCCCUACUCUACAUCUCAAUCAUCCGGUAGAACACAUUCAUGCAGCGGGCUGAAAUAAAAAUUGUGCGCUGUGGGUCCAAAACACCUAGCAAGUCCAUGUGCUCCAUGCGGUCCAACCAAACCGCAUCUCUCAUAUCCCUGGCAGGAAACAAACCAAUCAGGUCCAACACAAUCUCAAGGGGGUGCUCCCUGUAAAACUGUGUCAGUGCCUGCAAAUCUGCAAACUCCCAUGUAUCCUCCAACGUGUGUCCCUCAGCCACAACCUCCAAAGGUGGCCACUGUGGCUGGUCAGGGGGUGGGGGCACCUUCACGUGCACGGAGCUCCAGGGAAUCCCGUGAACCUAGUACGCACGUCCCGCGUAAACCAGUGGUGACGGGUACCCAAACGAGCGCAAAGUGUCCCAUAGUAUGGCAGGAAAACCCUCAUAGUGGAGGCACGUCGAGUGCGAGGUGCUGUCCACACCAACAGCAACAUACAUAGGGUCAACCAUCUGUAACAAAAUGACAAAUGAGAAACGGAAUCAAUACUCGGAAAUCAAAAUAGAUUUCUGGCAAGUUAGAGAAAAACUCAUAACUCAGCAAGUAUUCAUCCAAAAUUUCUCAAAUUUUACCAUCAUGUUCUUUAGGUAGUGUGUGACAAUUUUGGUAUUCAAAGGUAGAGCUAAAACAAAACUUAACAGGGUGAUAAGCUCAAGUUUCUAUCAAGUGGUACAUGCUGGAAUUUUCCAAAAUAGAGCUGAAGUAAACUAAGCAUAACUCUCGAACCAGGGAUCUAGUGGAGCUGAAAUUUUACCACCAAGUUCUUUAUUAAAUUAUUAGAAACUUUGAUUAAAAGAUGCCUAACAUAAAAAGUCCUUUAGGUGGUCUAAAAAUUAAAAUCCAACUGGUGUACACUCAGUGUUAUCAGCCAACUAGGGGUUACAAAUCUGAUCAUAACUCUCAACCUAGGGGGUUAAAAUUUUAUGAAAUUUUAACAGUACUUCAUUUAGGACAUUUAACACAACUUCCUUAUAUAAAGUUUCUGGAGUUAACAUCUGGAACAACUCGAAAGAUAUUUAACAAUACUUGCAUUGCUGAAAUAGGACAGCUAGAAGGUCCUUAUCGCGGUGCAACUUUUAGUAUAUAGGCGAGAUCGAACUUCAUUCUUUUAGGUUGCAAUUUUUAUUUCAUAAUGCAUGCAAGUACUAGUCGGCCUCACAAUCAAAACAAUUGCCAAAAAGCUUUGAACUUACGUAGUUAGUGCCAGUGGCAAGGCAACAAUACGGCUCUCACUAUAAUAGCUAGUCGAAUUGCUAAUCACCGCUUCAUACGCAAACGUGGUUAGUGUACCUACAGAAAAUCACAUCACAUCUUGAACCUUUCGUGCCAGCACUCACAAAAGCGUCCACAACUAUUACCGUUCACUAUAGAAACAGCACCCAUACGUUUAACGCUGCAUGGACAACGCAACAACCAUGGAAAUAGGUUCCCUGGAAUAGAACCCUAUAACCCUUCGCAUACUCGUGAUGUGGAAUCUUGCGCACGUAUAAUAGACGUGGAUGAACAACCAUGAUGAUAGGCUUGUUGGAAUCAAACUAUACCACCCUUCGCAUUAUUUAACAUACGAAACCUGCGCACGUGUAAUAAACGUGGGCGAAAACAACCAUGAUGAUAGGCUCGUUGGAAUCGAAUUCCUAUCACCCUUCGCAUACUCGUGAUGCGGAACUCUGCACACGUAUGAUAAACGUGGGCGAAAAGUGCUGGAAGUCAGUAUAAAUAACCAAUAGUUACUAGCCACCUUAAAUAUCCCAAAAAUUCCCCUAGGGCUUCUCGUACUAAGUUCAUACUUAACGAACUUACAAAUUUUUCAACUAGUUUCUUGCAAAUUUUAUUCUGAAAAGGGUGUUUUAAGGUUUGUUGUUCUCUGUACCAAGCGUCAAACUCUGAUGCCAGCUAUGGCGGAACCGCCCAAAUUAACCUGACUAAAAUGCACUUGAGUCGCCUGACACACGAUCAUGCACUUUAAGCAAGUCAACUUGGUUGUCCAUCAGAUUACAUCCGAUAAACCACUUACUCAGGAUCGAGAGACAUUGCUCACACGAAGGUGAGUGGGCAUAGAGAUUACAACAUUCUUAUCACAUUAACAUAAUUCAACAAUUUAUUACAUCAGAGUUUUUGAAAUCCACACAAGUUUGCAAGGUUGUGAACAACGACAGAGUAAAACAAGCGAAAAAUAAAUGUUGAUACACGAUAUCAUGAUGAAGCCGAUCAUGACAUCAAUGAUCCCUUCCCUCGCUGUCCGAUGAGGGAUCCCACUUGACUGUCAAGCCCGGAGGGAGCUGGGUAGGCUAAGUGGUGCCAGCAGCCAUACUAUCGACAUUACCUGAAAAGUUAAGCCACAAACAAGGCUGAGCAACUAAUACUCAGCAAGACUGACCCGACAGGUGGUAACUACACCACCGACUCCUAGACAUGCAAGGCUUUUUGGCUGUGGGUUUGUUUUUGCCAAAACACCUAAAGUUGGUCCUUACUUUUAAUAUUUUAGCUCAAGUUCUAAGUUCAUUACCCAAUCUAGAUUAGCAACUUAUACUAAGCAAGCAUUGUUUCCAAACAAUGAAAGACAAGCAUCAAGAUUUACAUCAUCAUCAUGUUCCAUCUUUACUCAGUGCAGAAUAGCGAUCAAGUAGAGCCAAACUAUGAGAGACAGACGAAUCGAUUCGAAUUUAUUAACCAUGCAUGGCAAACCUAAUCUCAUGACAUCCAAGCACUGCGAAGGGUCGCUUCAUUUGUCAGCCAUCCCCAUCGAUCCCUUAGGCACGUGUCAGGUCCAAACUUCCUUUGGCAUGCAAUGCUCCAUAGUCCCGGCCUCUGCCGUACUGUGACCACACUUGCACCCACAUGAUGCACCAUGGGAACGACAUUCCAAGGAUAGCAGGGGGGUAUGACACGCCCCAGUUCAAUCCGGUACUAGGCUUCCCUAUCCCAUACUAGGUAUGAGAUUAGUACUUUCAAACACUUGAUCACAAACGCCGACAUGUUUCGACCUUAGCAAGUUCAUUGCUAGACAGACGGGGCAAGCCACCACAUCGGAACCAUUCCCGGUCCCGUCCGUCAUCCUUAUAGUUGUAGAAAGAGUAAUCACACAACUCCUAUAACUCGCGAGUGACAGACAAUCACUCGACUUUUACCAAGUCCUAUUUAGCACAACAACUACUCGGCCUUAGCAACUAGUGUUCAAAACAAGGUACUAAGUUCAUGCAUCUACGGUUUCAACCAACUCCUACAAACAUAAAUGCACAAUCAUAAGCAUCAACAUAUUGCAUAAUUCAAAUCAGGGAAACAUGCACCGGAGCUUGCCUUCAGGAAAAGUAAGCGAGUCUUCGGGGUCUUGAUUUAGUUCGAGCUCAACUUCCACGUGGUGUAGCUCCGCGAUGGGUUCCUCUUACAGCGUAGGGUGGAGCUCUUAGGUUCCGUCAGUGAUAUUAGCUUCUACACGACAUACACAUGCAAAGAGUUUAGAUUUGUCCAUGCUUUUGUAUGAAUGAUGCAAGGCAGGACUUAUUACUAGAAAGGUGGGUUUCUUUUUGUUCCUGUCCAGGUUCCAAAAUUUUCCUACAAACUAUAGUUCAAAACUAAGCUACUCCAAGUGGUUUCAUAUUUUUCUCAGCUCUGGAUUAAAACUUAUGCAGAAAGAAACAUUUAACCCUAGAUUUCAAAUAUAAGGUUAAAAUAGUCAUUUAAAGUUCUACUCCAAAGACCUAAGUAUUUUUCUGAGCUUUAACUCACUGAAACCUACACCACAAAGUUGGAUUUACGUUUUUAGCAUUUUUCUUCAAUUUACUAUGAUUUAAAAGGCCUAAGAAAGAAAUAAAAGCAUAGGGUAUUAUUUCUAAUAGUAACAUGGGCAAAAUUAUUUUUGUAUGAAACUAUACAGUUUACUGAGUUCAACAAAAGUGGUUUUGCUUUUUUCUGAUUUUUCUACGAUUUAUGGUGCAUUUACAAAGUUUAUCCCAUUUUCUACCGAUUUAAAACAAUAAACCGAAAACAACUUACAAACUAACCCUCGGGUCUACGGUUUAUUUGCGCAAGGGUCCCUAGUUCUUCCGCUAAGGCCCCUAGAAGAAGGUAAACGACACAGAUAGAUCCUCGUGGCGGCCGACGACGAUCUUCGCUAGAUUCCGGCGAGCUGAGGCUCGGGCCAGGGCAACAAGUCGCUCAGAGACGUGCACGGUGGUGCGGCGGAGUGAGCAGUGGUGUCAGCGAGGUGCGGGGUGGUGUGGAGGUGGGGGCUCCAUGGGAGACCCGUGCGGCGGCACUGGAAAACAGGGGAGCGGCGGCGCUGGAAGUAGUGGAGGGCGGCAUAGGCGACGCCAUAAGUCAUUAUAUUGGGUCAGGGAGGUGCGGGGGAGUGAGGUGGAGCUUCAGACAUGGGCAGAUAGGAUCGGAGAGCUCGGUGGGCUGCGGGCCGGAGCUGCAUUGGCGGCGGUGCCAUUGGCCAGGGUGCGGAGACCACGGGAUAGGAUCUCCCGGUCAUUGGCGUUGGGGAAAAUGAGUCAUGCAAGCGUAACUUUGCAGCGGUCGGGAGUUUGCAGAGCGAGGCGCGCGUGUGGUUGCUGUCCGGGCGAUGAUAGGUGGUCAGAGCUUGGCCAAUCCGAGGCGACGGCGUGGCGUCCUUCAGGGGGCGGAGCUUGCUCAGGACGGAGCGAAGAGAUGCGUGACGCUAGGGGCAGGAUAAGCGCGCUCGCCUACUAGGCAGCCGGGCGCGUGAGCGGUCUUGUUGCGGUGGCUAGUUGGGCGACGGCAAGCUCGCCAAUGGACAGCGUCUACACGGCGGGUGGCGCACGGGCGAACGUGCGGGCGCGCUCCGAGCGCGCGCUGAGCGGGGUGCCCUUUGAGGCAGCCAAAAGGGCCGGUUUUUGGGGCCUUUUUCUCUAAACUUUUCAAAAGAAUUCGUGAAACUCCAAAAGUAAAACUUGUAGACCUGACAUCCGGCUUCAAACUUUACAAAAGGAGUUUGCUUGAAAACGAGAUAAAUUUGAAACCAUGGAGUUGCAAAGUUUGGCAGAACGCCAGCCUUCGGGGACUUAGGCAGAUCUCGGUUUUGCUGUUUUUUCAGCAUUUUGGCCAACUUUGGCUCAGAUUUUGAGUAGCUUCCCGUUCGAAUCAGGUCAAAGUGUAAUUGAAGGAAAAGUUCUUCGGUCUUAGGAGUCCAACUUCUAUUAAGGACUUUUCUUAAGUUCAGUUCAGAUUAUUGGAGGAACAGGCUCGCCAAGAUGCGCACUCUGGAUGUUUUCUAGACUUGGCGCUGGAAUGCCAAAAAGGUUGAGUUGACUAUUUUACACGAUUUUGACCAAGUUUUUGAGCAGGUUCGGUUGCGAUUUGGACCUGGGUUAGUGUAAUAAAGUUGGAACACACUCAAAGAACUACAACUUCUAUUAAGGGUCUGACUUGAGGUUAGAUAUAGGGGGUGUUUGGGAGGAGGGGGCUAAAUUUUAGCCCCCGUCACAUCGAAUAGGACACUAAUUAGGAGAAUUAAACCUAGACUAAUUACAAAACUAAUUACACAACCUCUAGGCUAAAUCGCGAGAUGAAUCUAUUAAGCCUAAUUAGUCCAUGAUUUGACAAUGUGGUGCUACAGUAACCAUUCACUAAUGAUGGAUUAAUUAGGCUUAAUAGAUUCGUCUCGCGAUUUAGCCUAGUGGUUCUGCAAUUAGUUUUGUAAUUAGCUUAUGUUUAGUCCUCCUAAUUAGUAUCCGAACAUCCGAUGUGACAGGGCUAAAGUUUAGCCCUCUCCUCCCAAACACCCCCAUAGAAUUGUGAGAUAACAGGUUGCAAAGUCGAGGAAUCAAUUGUAGGGUUUUAAAGUACUCCUAAUUUAAAACUGGUUUUUGACCUUCUCCCACUCCGAAACAGCCAAAGUGUUAUUAAUAAAAGUUAUUUGAAUUUAAAAGUUUUACAACUCCUAUUUAGGCAAAACUUUAAGUUUGUAUAUAAAAACUCAAGUUUCCUAUUUAACUCCAAAAAGAGAUUUUUAGGGGCAAAUUGGACAAUUCACCUCUUUGACUUAGUGACUAAUGACUUGCUCAAGUUGAACUAUACCUAAUUAAGGUAGAGUGGUUACAGAGUGCUACAUCUUGGAGGAACCAGUUGGACCGGCCUCUGAAACCGGUCAGACCGGUCUGACCGCCUAGCUAACCGGUCUGACCGGUCUGUUUGGAGAAAAGUCCACUUCGGCUAUGAAUCAUCCCAAGAUUGCUAAAGAUGAAGUGGGUGAUUGGAGAACACCCCUGACUAAUUAUUUACAGGAUCCUAAGUGCUUGGUUGACAGAAGGGUUCGACGAUGGGCGCUCAAGUUUGUGUUGAUGGACGACGAGUUAUAUCGUUGGACUGUUGAUGGAUUGCUUUUGAAGUGCUUGGACUCCGAUCAAGCUAGGUUAGCAGUGGCAGAGGUGCAUGAAGGGGUUUGUGGUACGCAUCAAUCGGCUCGUGUGAUGAAGUGGCUCCUCAAGCGAGCUGGUUUUUAUUGGCCUAAUAUGAUAGCCGAUUGUUUUCGCUACUACAAAGGUUGUGAAGAGUGUCAAAAGUUCGGGGACGUUCAGUUGGUACCUGCUGCAUCAAUGCAUUUGAUUAUAAAGCCAUGGCCAUUUAGAGGAUGGGGAUUGGAUUUCGUUGGUACAAUUUACCCUUCUUCGUCAAAGAGCGUCAAAGGGGCAUUGUUUUGUAAUUGUGGCUACUGAUUAUUUUACCAAGUGGACUGAGGCGAUUCCCCUUAAGAAAAUGACACAUCGAGAGGUGAUUGGGUUUGUCAAGGAACAUAUUAUACAUAGAUUUGGUAUUGCGCAAACUUUGACCACGGAUCAAAAGACUUCAUUUAUAUCCAAAGAGGUGUGUGAGUUUGUGGAAUCUUAUGGUAUUAAACUGCUCAAUUCAUCUCCUUAUUAUGCUCAAGCUAAUGGUCAAGCCGAGUCUAGCAACAAGAUAUUAAUUAAGCUUAUCAAGAAGAAGAUAGAAGACAAUCCUAAAAGAUGGCAUGAGGUGUUAUCUGAAGCUUUAUGGGCUCAUCGUAUUUCUAGACAUGGCGCGACUAAGGUUACUUCUUUUUGAGCUUGUUUAUGGUCAAGAAGCCGUUUUGCCCGUCGAGGUAAAUCUGGGUGCAUAUAGGUUAGCUAAGCAAGAUAAUCUUGAUUUUGAUACUUAUUAUGCUUUGAUGAUGGAUAAUAUUGAUGAAGUGACCGACAAGCGGAUGGAAGCUUUGGCUAAGAUUGAAAGGGAUAAAGUUCGAGUGGCUAAAGCAUACAAUAAAAAAGUUGAAGCCAAAACAUUUUAGGUGGGAGAUCUGGUUUGGAAAACAAUUCUGCCUAUAGGGGCUAAGAGUAAUGAGUUUGAGAAGUGGUCUUUGAGUUGGGAAGGACCAUACAAGAUUACAAGUGUGCUCCGUGGAAAUUCCUAUAUGGUGGAAACUUUAAGUGGAUUUCAGCUGGCUAGAGCUCUGAAUGGGAAGUACUUGAAGAAGUAUCAUCCGAGUGUUUGGCAAGACGCAUAGAAGCAGUAUGGCCGAUAUAUUGACGUAUCGCCCUCAGAACAAAUGGCCGGUGGAAUCCAUCGUCCUUAGGUGUAUUUCUUGGUACGCAAGCUUUACCAAGAAACAUGGGGGCAUGUGUUGAUGCCCAAAAGUGGCAGCGCCGCCGAUCAGGCUCGAAAGCCAAUUUGGUAGGCGAAACUGGUCUGACCGGCCCCGGUCAAACCGGUCUACCCUAGUCCGAGAAGAAAUCAAGAGUCCAGGUUGAAUUGGAGUUGAAAUGGGAUUUUCUUGUGGGAAAAGACCUCCCACCCUAUAAAUAUAGAGGGUCGUGGCCGAUUGAGGGCUAAUACCCAAUCGUCAAACAAAUUUUUUUACCUUUUAUCUCCAAACCCUAGCUUUUCCAACCCCUUUGCUUUCCUCCUUCGUCUUGACGGCGCUUGAGGAAGCUCUGAGUGGCCUGACCGAUCUUAGAGCAACCCUAGGCAUGCCACCUCCGACGGGGUCCCUCCUGAGGCGGCGACCUUAGGUUUUUGCAGUGGUUCUGUAAGGGCCGGUCUGACCGGUCUGACCGGCCUAGUUCAGCAACGCUGACGAGGUGAUUUUUGGUGCAUGCGCGAGCAAGCGCAAUUCGUGUGUUCACCAGAAAAAGCGUCAACACAGACAUUUAUGAUGCAGUUCAUCAGCAUGCAGCAUGCUUUUGCUUCAUGUCCGGCCUCUGAUCCUGUUCGUUUGUUUGGCUGGGUCGCGUCGAACACGUCUUGACAUCCUCUGGCCGGCGUCGGAGUCCCACUAGAAAAUGGUUUCAAUCAAGGUUUGAGGCUCUAGAUUGGUAUGUUUUGUUAUAAAUAUAGCAUACAGGUUGGUUAUUAAUUUGUACUGGGCCGCGUGAUCAGAAUUGAGAAAUGAGGUUUGGACUGGUUAUGGUCCAGACUCCAGAUCGAGAACCAUAUAUUAACAGGUUUACUUCCGGCAAACAUCGAUCAGACACCCUGUAGUGAGACACGUAAACUAUUAAUAUUCCCAAAGCAGGAAUAUAUCAAGCAAGCAAACAACAAGCUCAUUACGGAGUCCUGUCCAGUCAUCCUUCCAGAACUGCCCAGAUGGUGCGCACACGUACGUGGCGCCGUUAAUGUAACCACCCAUACCUGCCGACCCCAACCAUGCACGCACACGUACACCGCUGCCGUGGCCUCCCUGACCUCCAUCUCAACUCUUAAAAAAAACACCUGAACCCAAUCUCCAGUUAUAGUAUAAAUGCCCAUCAAGCCUCUCACUUUGCUGCAACACACGGCAAUUACAGUUGUUCGAAUUCCUACAUCCACAUCUGAUAAAAAAGCAGUAGCCAGAAAGAAACAAGUUGCCGAUCGUAGAUUGCUGCUAGGAUGGAGCACCAGGGGCAGCACGGCCACGCCACCAACCAAGCCAACGAGUACGGCAACCCGGUUGCCGCUGGGCAUGGCGCCACCGGCGUGGGUGCUGCCGGCGACCAGGUCCAGCCCAUGAGGGACGACCACAAGACCGACGGCCUCCUUCGCCGCUCCGGCAGCUCCAGUUCUAGUUCGGUACGUCUCCGUCGUCUCUAUUCGAUCACACCCUGUAGUAGUACCUCCCGUGGUGUCUUUCAUACAUGUGCAAAUUUUACUCAUCAUGGUGGUGUGGUUUGUCAGUCUGAGGAUGACGGCAUGGGCGGGAGGAGGAAGAAGGGCAUCAAGGAGAAGAUCAAGGAGAAGCUCCCCGGGGGCAACAAGGACAGCACCGGUCAGCAGCACACGACGACCGGCGGCGCCGUCGGCCAGCAGGGGCACGCUGGCGCAACCGGCACAGGUGCGCAUGGCACGGAGGGCACCGGAGAAAAGAAGGGACUCAUGGACAAGAUCAAGGAGAAGCUUCCCGGGCAGCACUAAGCUAUUUCGUCCAUCCCGCGCGCGCUACGAGAACGUGAAUGCUAGAUGAGCUGGAUGCAGGAUUGGUUGAAAUAUCGUACAUAGCAAUAAAUGGUCAUCUGACAUGACGACAUGUGUGGGUUCAAUUUGGUUGUUCGGUAAUACCGUUGGGUUUGUGACAUAUGUAAAUAUAUAUAUACAUAUAUCUUGUGCAUGUUUCUAGUAUACUUUUAUUUUUGCAGUAUUAGAACUUAUCUAUUCAUUAGAAAAUAGUGUUAAGAAAUGUAAGGGACCAUCUGAAUUAUCUCGAUUGAACCAAGUUAUCAUCCCUCGAUCGACCCGGCUUAAUCAAAAUAAUCUAGGUAGUUCUCGGUAUGCGCUUUCAGCAUCGUCCGACUUAAUCAAAAUAAUUCAGGUAGUCCUUGGUACGUGCCUCCAGCAUCGUCCAAGCACAACUCGCAUACCGUUUAUAUCAAGCACAACUCGCAUACCGUUUAUAUAAUUCAGGUUGUGCUUGGGCGAUGCUAGAUCCAAGCACAACUUGCAUACCGUUUAUAUAAUUCAGGUAGUCCAUGGUACAUGCCUCUCUAGUAUCGCCCAAGCACAACUCGCAUACCGUUUAUAGUUCAUAGCGAGGAAAGAAAAAGGUGACACUUUAAAAAGUAAAAAAUAAUGACAUCCGCAUUGUGAAUAAUCCAACCGGUUAUUCAAAUGACCAUUGAAACAGAACGAUAAGGUGUAAGACCUAUCUGCCUUCUGGGUCGUGAGUGAUGGUUACAUCAUUCAGACUGCAACGCUCAACCAAGGUAGCUGAUUCCACCGCUUUAGGCACUCUUAGGUUGAAGUACGCCGGAUGCUUUGGCUCAGGUAGAACCAUACUCUCACUAUUUAGCGCAGCAACAACGUCUGACAUGGUGGGCCGGUCGUCUGCAUUUUCUUGGACACACAUUAGUGCAAUAUUAUUGUACCUCCGAGCCUCUGCUGCAUGCAUCUCCUUGGAAACUGAUGCUUCUACAAGCUCAAGCCAUCUACCAUCCUCCCACAGGUGCCAGGUCUGCAGGAAGUUCAUUAAGCCUUCAUGAUAUGUAGGUCUGCCUGCACAAUAACUUGGAGAAGUAUACUUACAUAUCCAAGAAGAUUAAGGGAGUCUCCAAAUUGGUGAAAACCGGAAUUCUUUUUUCCGCUGAGGAUCUCAAGAAGUAGAACACCAAAGCUAAAUACGUAAGAUUUAACAGAAUAGCUACCUUCCGAGGCAUAUUCAGGAGACAUAUAACCACUGAAAACAUGAAUAAGCAAGAGAAAAUGUUAUGUCAACAUAUUAGAAUCUUUUGAUCCCACACAAUACUGAGUAGUAACAAAGUUGACAAAUACAUGCGUGCUUACCAUGUUCCGACCACCCUCUUUGUGUUUCCUUCGGUAUCAUUAGAGCCAAAAAUUCUUGCAAGCCCAAAUUCUGAAAUUUUUGGGUUCAUAUCCUGGUCCAAGAGAAUGUUGCUAGCUUUAAGAUCUCGAUGUACAACACACAACCAAGAGUGCUUGUGCAUGUUAGUUUUGAUCUCAUCCGACUCGGUCCAACGACCAAGUCAGACUCCUCAAUCGCGCCCUGAUGGGGGAUGCCCAACUGAACAUGGUUGGCGGGCCCUGUCGCGCAGCGCUAUAAAGAGUAAGGUGGGGGCUGGGGGCACGCAAGCUAAGGUUCGCUGUGCCCACCAAAGCCACCUGACAAACCCUAAACCGAUCGAACUAGCGCUGAAGUAGCGGGAAGUGUUGGAGGUAUGCCCUAGAGGCAAUCAUAGAGAUGAUGAUAUUCUAUUUGUAUCCAUAAUUUGUAUGUUGUGUGCAUUGAAUAUCCAUUGAAGGCUACUUGAAUUGAUUUGCAAUUAUGUGAAUUGUAUGUGAAACACUUUACUUGUAUGGUUAUUCUAAAGUUGUCCCUAGUCGGAGUUCAUGUGAGGACACACAUGAAUAUUAGACUAGCACAUGUAUUAGUUGAUGGCUAUGUUUCACAAGUCAUAGAUAUGGAGAUGUUGAACUAAUAAUGUGGACACAUGUGGAGACAUGUGCUAGGACUGACCCAACACGAGAAGUAGUUCUCUCUUUGAACAACAUAUACGUUUGUCCUUAGACCUGAGAUUGUCACAUGGAUUCUAGAUGUGGAUCGACCUACUUAGGGGCUAUCAAACGCUACGCCGUAACAGGGUAGUUAUAAAGGUAGCUUUCGGGUUUGUCAAGAAGUAUGCUAUCAGACAUGGUCAAUCAAGAUGGGAUUUGCCCCUUUCUGAUUGAGAGUGAUAUCUCUGGGCCCCUCGAGUGAUCGGAUCCGAAAAUGCAUGGCCAUGCUACGUACAGUUAAGAGUUAACCUACAAAGGGAUUCCGAAUCACAGGAUCGAGAAAGAGCAGUCGGCUUGAAGCUAGACCAAAUAUCGUGAGGCAAAGGGAAUAGCAUGUAUAUUAUGUUGUGAUGGUUCGUCUGAUAUGAUCUUCGUGUGCGUAUAGGAGUUGGCACGUCUUGCUAGAGGCCGCUACCGACUAUUGGGCCGAGUAGGAGUACUCGGGCCAUGUCUAUACGUAUCUGAACCCAUAGGGUCACACACUUAAGGGGCUGGAUUAGGUUUAGAAGUACUAAUGGGCCUCGGACCCAGAGGCCCGUUAGGAACCUCUAUAAAUAGAGGGGUGGGGGCGCCCUAGGGUUUACACCUUUUGGCGAAACAGUCCUGCCGCGCCUCCCACGCCCUCACCUGUUGCAACUCGCGGAUCUAGCAGUCCGGCUUGCGACGCUUCCUCCCUGCACGUGUGGAUACCUUGGAGGUGUUGCACCUGCAACACUUGGACGAGCCGCCAACGAGCCGCGGCACCGGGGGCGAUUUUGCUGCACGUGGAUGAGCUGCUGAGGAGCUGCUGGACGUUGACGUGAUCGACUACGUACGACUACGUUGAUCGACUACGUACGACUACGUGAUCGUCUUCACUGCAUCGACGUAUAUCUACAUCUUCCGCACCAGUAGUGCGUCGAGUGGUAAUCCCGUGAUCCUUAUACAGCAGUUAUUCCUGGUUUUACACGGUAGAAAUUUUGAUUUGCACUAGCGUAGCCUACCUCGUAUUCCAAUAGUGGUAUCAGAGCCGUAGUUACUUAGUUUUGGAUUCGGGAUGUGUGCAUAUGGAGAUAUGCGAGUUUUCCGUUAGAUCUAUGUCCUGGUUUCGUGCUCUUGCUGCAAUGGUAGUGUAACGACAUACUCCUACCGGUCGGUUUCCGCCAUCGGAGUUAAGUGAUACACGUAAAUUCAGUUGCAGUGAGCGAAGAUCAAUAUGAUUGGUCGAAUCGAAAUCCAGGGUCAUACGCCACGCGCAUUAGAUGUGCAAUAGUAGAUGAGAUCUACUGCCGGGGUCGGGAUUUUUGCCAUUUGCGUAUGCUUCGGUAAAUCAGCCGUAACUUUUCGGUACGAUCUCGGAUCGGGGCGAAUUUUAUAUGAAAAUUGAUCUACAGAAAAAGUUGCACAUGAAAUUCAACCGCUUAGCCGUUUUCGGCGAAAUUAGAUUUCCCAAAUUCGGCUUGGAAGAUGGAGUUUCGGGCAUCCGAAGUUUGGAACGUUAGGUCGCCUAACUCUGUUUUGCAGGAUGUAUGUAUGUAUCUUGUGAUCAGUAUGGCCCCCUUGUGUAUGUGAUGCAUGUGUGUAACUCAUUCGUGACCUGCGUGUCGCGCGUACGGCAACACGGCAGGAGCCAUAUGUGUUGUCACUUUAUUGUAUUUAAUGGUCUGCGUACCAAUCUGUGAUGAUCCAAGCAACUAUGUAAUCUUCAUUACUAGAUUCUUUACUAGCUAUUAGGCGUAAUAGCAUGUUCUAGUUCUUGGAGGACUCAUCACCAGGAGGAUGGCGCACAUGGAACAUGGAGAUGGAGAUCGCCAUGGUGAACAGGUUCUAUGGAGAUGGAGAUCACCAUAUGAAAACGGGUCAUACUGUGUCACAACUGUGUGAAUGCUAUUCUAUUUAUGUUUUACUUUCUGCAUGCUGUGAUGUUAGAAGUAGAACGAUCCCUCACAAAGUUUAAGUUAGUAUGCCCUCCCAACUAAAACUUGCACCGUCACAUGUCUUGUACAAUUAGUGGUGGGUCUAUGAAAUUAGGGUGCCACUAGUUUUCCUUGACUAGACGGGUUUGUGUCGGACACUUACACGCAUAAGGGUUGGUUUGCUUAACAAGGUUAUCUUAACGGUUAAGGACCUUGGGGCAUAAAGGUUGGGCGCCGAGACAUAGAGAUGUCACCCAACAACAGGAGUCAUAUGUGAUAUGAUUAGCAAAAGUUGCUUACCGAUCUACCUUGUUUGCUAGCGGUGAUGCUAAAGCUCACUAGUGGACUUGUUAGUUGUGGAUCCUGAAUCACUAAGUUUCAAUAGAGGGAUAUUGAUUUUAGUGGGAGUAGAUUCUGUUAAAAUAGUUUAAUGUGAUUUGCUCUAUCAUGGAUACGUUUGUCUUAGUGUAUUUUGCAUUACUUUGUUGUAGAUUAAAUGGCACCUAGCAGCACUACACCGUUUGCUUUGCGUUCGGUCCUUGAGAAGGACAGGUUGAAUGGAACAAAUUACUCGGAUUGGAUCCGUAACCUGAGAAUUGUUCUCAGGGCUGAGAAAAAGGAAGAUGUUCUAGACAACCCACUACCAGAAGAAACUGCUGAUGAUGCACCCGCUGCUGCUAAGAAUGCUUACAAGAAAGCAUGUGAUGCUAACCUCGAAGUAAGCUGCCUUAUGCUUGCUUGCAUGGAACCCGAGCUGCAGAUGCAGUUCGAAACAAACCAUGAGGCGCACGAUAUGAUCAUGGCGCUUAGAGACAUGUUACAAACACAGGCCAGGACUGAAAGGUUCAAUGUGUCUAAGGCCUUUGUUGAGAGCAAGCUAGCAGAAGGCGCAGCAGUAGGACCACACGUAAUCAAGAUGGUUGGUUACACUCAACGGUUGGAGAAGCUAGGCUUCCCACUGGGCCAAGAGUUGGCCACUAAUUUCAUUCUUUCGUCUCUUCCGCCUAGCUAUGGGAACUUCAUCUCGAACUACCAUAUGCAUGGGACGGAGAAGGGUCUGAAUGAGCUGUGUGGCAUGCUUAAAACAGCAGAGGCUGACAUCAAGAAAAGCGCUAGUACCAGCCAUGUGAUGGCUAUACAGAACAAGCCUAGCUUUAAGAAGAAGGGCAAUUCUUGGAAGAAGAAGGGCAAGGCUGGAACGUCCAAGCCAAACCCACCGCCCAAGGUUAAAGCUGGACCUGGACCUGCUCCAGACAAAGAGUGCUUUUACUGUCAUGAACUUGGUCACUGUAAGAGAAACUGCAAGCAGUACCUACCUUCCUUGAAGAAUGGCGGAAGUAAGAGUACUUCUACCUCAGGUACGCUUGUUGUUAAUGUUAUAGACAACAUAUUUCUCGCUGAUACAAUUAUUAAUUCUUGGGUAUUUGAUACCGGAUCGGUUGCUCAUAUUUGCAAUUCGAUGCAAGGAAUGAUAAGAAGUAGAAGCGUGGAAAGAGGAGAAGUUGAGUAUGCAUCACAUUCAUGACUAGUCUUGUAUGGUUCAGCUAGUAUGAUUAAAAACCUAUGGUCCAUGAGAUACAAACUAGAAAAAAAAACUAUACUACACUAAGUGUUCUUCAUCUCCUUAUGACACUUAGUACUAGAAAGAUCUUGUCGCAUUAGAUCUAUGCCGCUUUCCAAUUCAAAUUGAGGGGUCACGUUCCAAUAAACUUAUAACAUAAUAACCAAUAUAGAUUCGCUUCAAAACAUACGGGUUAGUCACAAUACCAUUACUAAAGGUGCAAAAGGGUCUAGAUGACGCUUAAGUGCUUCAGCGAUGCUUUGUAUUAGACGGUUUUGCACGAAAAAAUUGAGGAUGAAAUAGGAGCUGAAAAACUAAUUGCUAUCAAUCCAGAUCUCAAAAACCAGGUAGGGCGCAAGGCAGGCGUGCGUGUGGGGAGAGAAAAGGAAAGGAAAACGAAUACGUAUAUGCUUUACCUGGUGACUGGUGUGCUCCUUUGUUUCUACAAUCCGACUCUGUGAUGUGAGCAUCGGUUUGUAAACUGCAGCGAUGGGUACUGGAAACUGGCAUGUUGCAGAUGCAGGCAGAUGCAACGAGAGCCAGCCAUGGACGAAACAAAUCGCACACGAAAUCAGCGUGACGGGUGGAUCUCGAGGAGCUACCUCGUGGGCCGGCGCUCAUUCUCGCGCCCGGAGGGGACACCAGCUACCAGCAGAGACGGUUCUUUUGUCCUCUCUGCACGCCACGCGCCGCGCGCAGGGCGUGCCAGCGCUUUCUCGCGUGCCUGCCUGUUUCCUUUUUCAUUUCCUUGUGCCGCACCUGCUGCGUCGCCUCUGCUCUGUUUCUCUCUGCUGCUACAGCAGACAGAGGACGGAUGCACCAACCAAUGUAGAGACUAGAGAGUAGAGACGCACGCUGAAAGAGAGCACGAUGCCGACCAAGUGACAAAAUAGCGUAGCGUGUAUGGCCAAGAAAAAAAACACACAAAGGAACAAGGCCAUGUCAGUCGGCAGCUCUCGAUCGGCAUGUCGGCAUCGGGAGCUCGCCGGCUACAGUCCCCCCGCCGCCAGCAUCAUCCAUGAUCCGCACACUAGGGUGUGUUGGUGCCGAGUAGUCGACAUGAGGUCUUGUCGACGAGCAAAGAAGAGAUGUUGGAUUUGGAAAGCUCAGUGGUCCAACCGGUCCGUAUGGGUCUAUGGAUGAUACUAGCUCGUUUCUUUAUGACGUGAUAAUGAUGAAGAUCGAAGAUAGUAUAGACGCGGAAACAUCAUUAGUACAACACGGUGAUAUGUCAGAAAUGACGGCCGCCUUCUAUUGAUCAUAGAUAACUUUGAUCCACUGGAAACAACUAAAGAAGCAUCACAGCUCUUUUUAAUAUAGUAAAUCACUAAUCAGGAGGCGACUCUACUAAUUCGCAUAAAGAUGAAGAUAAAAUUAGUCCUGAAAAAUGGAAGGAGAGGGGGGGGGGGGGGGGGGCGCAAUAGCAUAUGAAAUUAAGAAUUAAUGGGCAUCCCCCAGUUCCUCAACGAUGAUGCUUUAACUGCAUACUACCUUUCUAAUUCUUGCCAUUGAUCAAAGGCUUGUAUUGAUAGGGGUAUACGAAACGGCUGUUGGAGGUAUUAGAGGAGGCGGGUUGCUGUUCUAGACACUUAUCUAUUUCUUUUUAGCAAAAGAAGGGAGAAUGGUUAUGUUGCAAAAUUGCUGUGGAUAGCCCCUACGUAUGGUUAUCUUUUUCUUUGAAGCAACGGGCCAACGGUUAACGUGAUGAGCCUAGCGUAAGCAUUCAAGCCCGUACAAAUAGUAGCUCGCAUCAUGUACGGUACAUUCCAAAACCACUCUUAAGCGAAGUUAACCUACGCCCUGUUCGCUUCAGCUUAUUCAGCUAGCUUAUCAGCCACCAAACAGUAUUUUCCUCUCACAACAAAUUAGCCGUUUCAGCUUUUCAGUCGGCUUAUAAGCUGAAGCGAACAGACCCCUAUUCCGCGCACGUAUGCAUAACUGCAUACAGCUUCGAAGGUCACAAGCACAAUCACGUCAGGUGACCCAGGUGGGUCAUCGUCUAUCUGUUUGUUCCAUCUGUUGGUUGCUUCGCCCGUUAUUCGUUAGUCUAUCCGUUUAAUCAUUGGGAUCCAUGCACGCCUGCUAAGGGAUUUCAGAACACUCAGUGUACCAAACAGACCGACCCUAGAACAGAGCGUGCUUGAUUGAGACAUGGUAAACCUGGGUUCUUCAUUGCAGCUCCCUACGUGACGACUUUAUCUCGUCCAAAGAAGAAUAAAUCACAAAUCUAAAAUAGUUACAGGAACAAGAAAGAGCAAAGGGAAGUACUACUGAGGAAACUAUAUAAAAAUGCGGACAUCUUUGCCAAGAAAUUAAACAGCAAUAACAGAUUUGCCCGUGCAUAAUAGGAUCUCUCUUUCUGAUUGAUGAGUUCACCUGUAAGGCUGUACCGGUUUCACCUAAAAAAACGUAGGUUCUGUAUAUAACUAUGGUCUCGUUUGGCAGGGCUUCGCAACCGGCUUCACCAUCGGCUCCUGGUGAAACCCUGCUAAAGGGGUGAAGAAAAAACGGCUUCACCAUGGGAGCUCCGCAAGAUGCGGUGACUGGAGCCGUUCGACGGGAAGGGAGCUAAAAAAGUAGCUCCCCAUGGCUCCUCCCCGUCUGCAGGAGCAAAGUUUUAGAUUUGUCCCGGGAGGGUGCUAAGGCGAAGACGAGCCCGGCGGCCAACCGACGGGGCAGGGCAAGACAGAUGCAGGGGAGGUCAGACCUGGCAGCUGACCGGCGCAGCUGCGCAGGGGAGGUGGGAUGCUGGUGGGUGUAGGGGAGGCCCGACGCAGUGACCGGCAGGUGCAGCCGCGCAGGGGAGGUGGGAUGCUGGCGGGCGCAGGGGAGGUGGAAGGCUAGCAGGUUGAAGAAGGUAGCUGCGGGGUGCACGGCGGGCCAGAGAUGGCUGCCGUGGGUCGAUCUAGUGCAGGGGCUGCGGUGGGAGGAAAGAGGCGGAUGGGGAUGAAAGAGGAGACGGGGUAGACGAGGAUCGUUCGGCUGGAUAAGAAGGAGAAGAAAAAAAGAAAAAAGAAAAGGAGAAGGAAAAAAGAAAGAAAAGAAAAGAAAAGGAACGACAAGAGCAAGGAGAUCCUUUUCAUUUAUUUUUUCAACUUCAAAAUGAACUCAAAUUAUAAACUAACGUUAAACAUUCAAUUUAUCAAUGAAAACAAUCCACACAGCCAAGAGUAUAAGAGUAUAUAGGAUAUACAUUUGACCUCUUGCAUCCAUUCAAAAAAUAUAGGAGAAGUCGUUUUGCCAAAUAUUUUUCAAAAUAGUUUCAGCUCCAACACAGAAGUCGCUCUAGCAGGGGAGCCACAACUAUUUUAGCUACAGCCACAUCCUACCAAACGAGCCUUGUAUAUAAGCCGGUCUAGCAUGCAUGAGGAGGAAAAAAGUACUGAAGAAUACAGCGAGUUGGCGUGUCGGCACAACAGAGGAUCACGUCCGGUGCAACGCCGAGGCGGGGCGUGUGGGGAACUAAACUAAACUAAAGGAAACAUCGCUUUUGUACUCGCAUAGUAGUGUGGAGUGGCAGAUGAAGCCGGCGGCAUCAUGAGCGCAUCUCGAGGGGCCGCCUCGUGGGCCGGCGCUCCUCCUCGCCGGCGCCUGCGUGGCCGCUGUUUCCGCUAUCGGCAACCGCAACGCCGCUCCUUAUUUUUGCUCUGCUACGGCAGUGGCGUGGCAUAUAACGGAUAGCUCUGACCGCAAAAGCAGGCCAACACUACUGCAUCCAGAUCAAACGCAUCUGUGGCUGGGAAGAAAACGAAGAUGGAAGCGAAGUUCGAUCUGGCCUCUCUGCCUCUGUAUUGUACUCAACUCACACGACGCAUAAAUUACUCCCCCUUCUAAAUUAUGGAUUAUUUUAACUUUUCUAGUGUCAUAGAUGUUAUUAGCCAGACGUACACUUAUAUCUAGAUGCAUAAUAAUAUAAUUAAAAAAUGAAAAUAAUCAAUAAUUUGAAAUUUGGAUACGAGGGUACGUUCAGCACGCAUUAAAAGGUCGAUUCAGACGAUAGCGACAUGGUUGCGUGCGCACAUGUCAGAAAUGGCGGCUGAUAUGUCGGCCAUCCUGACAUUACACGGAACUGCAACAUAGGUAACGAUCAUAGCGGUGACGAACGCAGCUCUGCGGCUCGAUCACUCCUAAAAUCGAAAGGUAAAAUGUCAAAGGAUGAUCGACAAAAAAUUGAUGAGAUGACCUUAUUUAAAUUUCAAGAAGCUUUCCAAAGCAGCGAUGAUUUGCCUGCCUAAGAAACAAGGAGGUUUGGGGGGUCUUACAGUGAUGCUCUCCUUCUCAAAUUCCUACCUAAAUUCUUCACCAAAGCUGACAUCCUCUGGAUUAAAUUGGUAUGAGAGAACUAUUAUGGCAACAAUAGGCUCCCAAGUCAAUUAAAAAAAGGUUCAUUUUGGUGGAGAGAUAUAGUUAAACUGAUUGAUUCGUUCAAAGGAAUGGCAACUGUAUCUAUCUCAGAUGGUUCAACAGUUCUCUUCUAGUCAGAUCUCUGGAAUGACUUCGUGCCUCAGCUGGAAUACCCGGAGCUUUAUUCCUUUGCAAGGAACAGAUUCACAACAGUAAAAGCAGCUAUCAGCAGGCCAGCAUUCAUUCAGAACUUUCACCUUCCUCUCUCAAUCCAAGCUCACCAGCAGCUCCAAAUUAUGCAAGACAAAAUUCAAGAGCUACCUUGGGUUGAGGGGCCUGAUCAAUGGUCUUAUAUUUGGGGUAACAAUGUUUUCAGUGCAUCCAAAGCAUACAAGAGGUUAAUUGGUCGCAAGGAUAUUCAUUCAGCUUUCCUUUAGAUUUGGAGAUCAAAAUGUCAAAUGAAAUAUAAGGUGUUCUUUUAGCUUCUUCUUCAGGAUAGACUUAGCACUAGAGACCUGCUCAGGCGUAAGACUAUGGUGCUGGAUUCAUACACCAGUGAACUUUGCAUUCUGCAGAAGUUAGAGACAGUAGCUCAUCUCUUUGCAAGAUGUAACUUCACCAAAGCUUGUUGGGCCUCCAUUGGUGUGACAGUUCCCACCUCGAGGCCACUACUAUAGAUCUUUAAUCUCAUCAGGAGGAAAUUGGUAGUUCCUUUUUUUAUGGAGAUCAUCAUUCUGAUGUCCAGGAGUAUUUGGUCGACCAGGAAUGAUUGGCUCCAGCUGUCCAAAAUUGCAAAAGCAAGUUCAAGAUGGAAUGUUCCCUGCUGCUUAAUAGAGCCAAACCAAGUCUGAUCCCUUACAUGAGAGAAUGGCUACAAUCCCUGUAAUGAUCCGGGCUUUCGUAAAUGCCACUUUAGUCCUGCUAGUUCUUUCACUUCUUUCCUCUUUUCUUCUUUCCUUUUUCUCUUUGUUUAUCAGGGAGGACCUGAAUCUUCCUUAUUGUUGUAGCUCCUUUUUUAUUUCCUGUAACUCUUUCUUUUAAUAUAUAACCAGUAGGAGCUUGCCCCUCCUGUUCCUAAAAAAAAAAUUGAUGCUGGCUAGAAUGCUAGCUCGCUAGGUUUCACAUCAGCUGUUAGGUCCAGAUCGAAAGCCAACGGUUGACGUGAACCUAAUCGUUGCUUUCUAAUCCUUACAAAUUAGCUCCCAUCAUGUACAUUCUAAUGAUGCAAGGACGCUUUUAACAACUUUUUAAGCAAAGCAAAUUAGUCCGUGCACAUACCGACGAACUUACCAACAAAACGCCCCCGUCACUUCUCAUGAGCACCGGUGCUCAUAGGACAAAAUUUACAGGCGUAAAUUUAAUUAAAGAACUCUGGUAUUUUGUAUUAAGCCCAAACGGGGCCCUCUGUUUAAUUUGUUUCUUUCAUUGGUUUGUUCGUACAUUCUUCAGUCUCCCCGUUAUUUGUUGGUUUCAAAUUUCAAUGUAAUGUGCUACUCUGUAUAAAAUGCGCGUAGAAUAUUAAUAAACCAAAGUAUUUCUCUAUAUAAAAUGGGACAAUUCAUCAAUUACAAUGAAAUUAUGUAAUGCUCCUCUACAACAAUCCUGCGUUUUUGCUACCUGGUGUUCUCGAUCUGACAGAGACUGAAACAAAUUAAACAUGCUGUAUAUGCUUGUCAGAGUAACUCUUGGUUCUUGGUGCCUAUGAACAGAAGAAAGAUCGAUCUGUUCAUGUAUCUCUGCUAAAAUCCAGAACAUAUAUUUUACAUGAACAAGCUAGAAAGAGCAAAUAAGGGAACCAAAUGCAAAUUAUGAGGACAAUCAUGAAGAUUUGUCGUGCAAUCCCUCUUUCUGAUUGAUCAGUUCGGUUGGAUACAUGACACAUCGAACAUGUACUACUUUUUGCCUAGAAACCUCUUCUGUAUUAAUUAUAUGCUGAUAAAAAGAAAAAAAAUGGAAAAUGUAGAACUCACUCAACUUGCUUUUUACUACAGAGGAUGGACCCACGAAUGGAGUUACCAGAGCAGAGCAUGGUGAUAAGAGAAGAGUAGAGGAUGAGACCUUCAAGCUUGGAUCAUCGUCUCAUCCAUGCAUCUUCCCGACGGUCGGGUCCACCGUCAAGGCUGCCGGCGGCGUCGCCCAUCGGCCAUCAGUAGCAGCGGUAGACGACGUACGAGUUCCGGCGGGGCGGCCGCACGUGGCAGAGCAUGAAGAGCACGAGGGCGAUCAUCAUGGCCAGCAGGAACCCCUUGGGGUCCAGCCCGCCGGCGGCGUCGCCUCCGCUGUCGUCCUCGCCGCCGUGGCACCCCACGCAGCAGCACGAUCCCGAUCCCAUGGGCUUCAGACGAGGACCCCUUCUCCGGGGAGAGCGAGAGCUUGUGAAGCUCCUGAUGUCUCCUUUGUGUUUGUGAGUGUGCGAGGGAGGGAGGGAGAGAGCGAGGUGGAGAGUUGCUUCGGGCGUGGAGAAAGAAGGCAAAUGGUUGCUUGGGACGCAAAAGGAGUGGAGGAUAUACGACUCACUUUUUUGUUUACUACCUUCCAUGGGCGCAGGUCCAAGAAGAAUAGGCCGGCCGGUGCAGAGACGGCAGGAUCUAUGGCACCACGAGUCGACGAGGCCCCACAUGCCAGCGGCGAGCUCAGAGAAAAGUCUUUUGGGUUUCUCAUCUGGGAAAAUGCAAAGGGCUGAACUCACUGUUCUUGGUUCUAACUUUGAUUUGUUUAGUGUGAUGUCACUUUCAAUUGGAAUUGGAUGGAAUUCCACUUGAACAUGGGAUGGAUGGUCU
rnacentral:lncRNA from 1 species